UUUUUUUUUUUUUUUUUUUGCAAUUCAAACAAAGAAAAUUAAAUAAGUUUCUCAAUGUCCUUUUGGACCAACCUUUGCUCCCAUUUUCUAGAGUGCUUUUUUCUUAUAUUAUAUUUUCUUUGCGAAUUCUUUAAGAGUCUUUUCAAUUUUAAUACGUUUUAUGUAAUAUAUACUUCUCUUUUUCUUUUUAAAUAUUGGUGGUGGUUGUGAAAUUUUCAAAAACAUGUGGUAUUUGUGGAAAAGCCUCAUAUAAUUUAUCACCAAAAUAAUUUGGACAACCCAAAUGAACUGAUGGUAGAAAACAAAAUAACAACUAUAAAUUUCUUUCUUUUAAACAAGAUCAACAAUAUUACAAGAACAAUUUCAAAAAUUACUAGCUGCGACACUAUUAUGUGGUCUGAAUUUACAGUAUUCAUCUUUGAACGUUGAAGAGAUGAAUGAGGGUGGUAAACAAGAGAUAACAAUAACUUUAGGCCGGUUUUGAGUUAAAGACAAAUCAUGAUAUAAGUACUAAAUUAAAAAUUUGGAGAGACUAAAAUAAUUUUAAUUUGACUUUAUAUUAAUAUAUCUAUUUACUUAUGUGCCUUAAUCCUUUACCCUUUAUCCCCCUCCCAAAAAAAACACACACACACACACACAAAGUGACUUUCUAAUGUCCCCAAGACCCAACUCAAUUAAUAGGUACAUUGCUCAAGUAAUUGUACGGUCUUUAGUUUAAUUCUCAAAACAUUCUCAUUCUUUUUUUCUUCAUAAGAUUUGGUAUCUCUCUUGAAAGUAAAAAUAAAACUAUUUAAUGAAACCAAAACCUGGGACGCCCAUAGAUGUGAGGGGCUGUACUUUAGCAAUCUGGGUUGGUGUUUUUUUGGUUUGGUGGGCUUGUAGGCUGGUCUGUGACAGCCCCACCUUCUCCUAAGGCGAACCAAAGGGGUUAGCGGACUGCCUGCCCAACUCUCGCCAGGACUAACGGUUCAGUUCAGAGCGAUCUAACACGUUCCGGAACUUACAAACGCGAGUAAACAAGUCAAAAUCCCAAAAUAAAAAAAAAUGAAAUCGGAGCCGGUCAUGAAUAGUAACCAACCCGUCAGAACCCAACCAAAUAUCAAGCAAACAUUCACAUCUUGAAAUUUAGCAUUUACAAUCCAAAGUGGCAUACAAAAGUAUUCAAAAGUGGAUACAUGUAUGGUUUGCCAAAUCAAAAGAGAAACGGAGCCAAAAGUACAUUUAGGGUUUCAAUCUAGGAGUUAUACAAAAGAUAUGUCCAUCUAGCUCAAUUCGGCAACCAACUAUCAAUUGCAGUCCAAAAGUAUUUAUUUUCCUGUAAGGAAAACAAAAGGAAUAGGGUGAGCUUACACCCAGUGAGAUAAUACCACUCAAGCAGCAAAGUUCACAUAAGCAUAAAGCUUUUCAUUCCAAUUGAUCAAAAGUAAGCAAAGGCACACAUCAAAAGUGGUGAUAAAAGGAUACGGGCGGCUCUCAAGAGCCCUUUUCCUCAUUUGCAUUCUUGAUCGAACCUUAUUGACUCUCCGUCAAUGUUUUAAAGUAACCAACCGUAGACUCCACUUUACUUCCAUUCCUUCCACCCAACAUACCCCUACCGGGCCCGAACUCCAAACACUUGCAAUGUGGUAUUACUCGAGUAUACCGGAAUCGAGAGUCUCUCAUACUACAAGAUUCCAUAUAACAGUCCCCAAGGUUCAUUAAUUGGCACGACCAAGCCCUCGCCGGCUCGAUUCAAUCAACUACCAAUGGGGUUGAGCUCAAUGGUAACAAUCAUGGUCGUUGGAUACUCGUCCAAACGACACCAAGUCAAGUACUUUCAUUUCAUGUAACAUUCCAAUAACAUGAUAAACAUUCAACGCAUCAAGUUCAAGUAUCAAAGCCAUACAGUAACACACAAGUGAGUAGUACACUCACCAAGCUUGAAAAUGAUAUUUCAUACACCUCCGUCAAAGGAGCGUCGUGAACCACCGUCACGCCCUAAAACAUGCAAACAAGUACAAUGAGACUUGAUAACAAGUUAUAAACCAAUGCCAAAUACUACCAAAAUAGGGUUCCAUAAGCAUACAUAAGCAUGAGAGGAAACCAGAAAAAUCCGGAAAUGGAGUUAAGUGUUAAACAAAAAAAAAACAGUUUUUGACACCAUUUUACGGUUUUGGUACCAAUGGAACUACGAUUAUCGGAUGGCGGUGAAAGAUACACCAUUUCGAAGCUAAGCGAUAGGGGUACAAUGUUACAGAAGGUCACUCAGCCCAGUUUCGAGUGCAACCAGGUCAAAAAUGCAAUCUACUACACCAGAACCGCAAAAAUAGGUUCACAAAUUGCAUUCUGGUGCAAACAUCAUAAAUCAGGCUACCUAAGUCCAAAUCCAGUAAUUCCAAAGCCAUCCGAAAGAUAAGAUACAAGAAUACAUUUCAUCAGAAGACCUCAACAACCAAUUCUGAAGCAUUCCCAACCAAAUUAACCAAUUACAGACGCAACUAUCAAAUUCGGGUAAAACCAGGGCAGCAAGGGUAAUUCCAUCUUUUCUCAAGCUACGCUACUCCGAUUGACCUGAAAUUUUACAGACAUCUCUAAAAUAUCAUUUCCUACAACUCUCAUGUUUUAACCCAAAGCCAAUUCGGCCUCUAUCUAUGAGCUACAGUGCCAAGCAGAAUGAAGAACAAUGAAACCCUAACUUUUCAAGUUUCUUUCCAAAACAGAAAUUGCUUGCAAUUAACCACUUUUUCCACCUUCUAGCUUCCUUAAAUAUCAUUUCCAAUCAUCAUACAUGACCACAUAAUCAUAUUCAUAUGAAAACAGAAAAAUCCCCAAUAAUUAUAAAACUUCACCAAUUCAACCAAAAAUCAAGAUAUAAUCCAUAAAAUUACAUCUUAUACUACACCAAUCAUGAAUUAAACAUCAUUAGAGGGAGGAGAGAGGUCCUUCACUACUCACCUUAGUAAUACAAGAGAGAGAGCAAUUAGACACCUUAGUUUUUCAAACAACUUCACCAAUCACCUCACCAACCCUAAGUGAAGAGGUUUUAUGGAACAAAAGUAAGUUUAAGUGGUUGUUUUGAUGGAUUUGAGCUAAAUGGAAGCAAGAACUUGGAGAGUUUUCUUUCUUUCUUUCUUGAAGUUGGCCGGCCAAGGAGAAGAAGAAAAUGGUGAAAUUUUGGUAAUUUUUGUGAUUUAUUUGGUCAAAUGGAAAAAGGUGAAUAGUGGUCAUCAAGUCCAACCACUCUCUAAGUGACACUUGUCACUAUAAUUAAUGCAUCUCUAUCACUUUGUUUCCUCUCUCACCAAUCCAAAUAGCAACCUCUAAUUAUCUCUUAGCACCCGAUAAUUUAAACCCAGUAUCCAAAACUUAACCUAGUUGGCCGAAUUUUUCCGAACUUCCCGCACUAGCGGGCCCCACGUCCGAUAUAUACUCUUAAUUUCUCAAAAGUAUUCGAUACUAGAAAAAUCAUCUAAAAACUAUAUCUGCUCCUUAAAAGUAUCUAGAAAUUUUCCUAAUCACGAAAAUGCAAAAAACAAGCCAUUGAAUAUAAUAAAACCUAGGAAAUUUCUCACCUCAACUCACGAAAAGUUCAGGGUAUUUCUUUCGCAUUUCUUCUUCCAUCUCCCAAGUAGCUUCCUCUACCCCAUGGUUUCUCCACAGUAUCUUAACCAACGGAAUCUGCUUGUUUCUUAGCUCUUUAACUGUCCGGUCAAGUACUUGGACAGGUUUCUCUUCGUAAGCAAGCGAUUCAUCUAUGUCGAUCUCCUCGGGUUGUAAGAUAUGGGAUGGGUCGGGAUAGUACUUCUUUAGCAUCGAGACGUGGAAGACGUCGUGAAUUCUAGAGAGACUUGACGGCAGCUCUAGCCUAUAUGCUACUGCACCUAUCCUCUGUAGGAUCUUGUAGGGUCCAACGAACCUCGGUUGGAGCUUCUUUCCUUUGCCUGCUGUGACACUCCGUAAGGGUGUGAUCUUGAGAAACACAUGGUCUCCAACUUCAAAUUCCAAGUCUUUUCUUCGAUUAUCUGCAUAGCUCUUUUGUCGGCUUUGAGCAGUUUGGAGUCGUUGCCGUAUCAACUUGACCUUUUCUCGAGCCUCUUCCAUCCAUGGAAUAGUGGUUGGAUCUAAUGCCUUUCUCUCACCAACUUCGUCCCAGUAGAUCGGUGAUCGGCAUUUUCGUCCAUAUAGUGCCUCGUAUGGGGCCAUUUGAAUCGACGAAUGGUAGCUGUUAUUGUAUGCAAACUCUACUAAGGUCAUGUGUUGACCCCAGUUGCCUCCAAAAUCUAGAAUGUCAGUCCGUAGCAUGUCCUCGAGAGUUUGGAUUGUCCGUUCUGAUUGUCCAUCCGUCUGAGGAUGAUAGGUGGUGCAUAGAUUGAGUUUAGUCCCUAGAGUCUCCUGGAACUUCUGCCAAAACCGAGAUACGAACCGGGGAUCUCUAUCGGAGACGAUGCUCACAGGAACACCGUGUAGCUUUACAAUCUCGUCCAUGUACAGCUGGGCCAACUUGUCCAUGGAGUACUUCAUGUUCACCGGCAAGAAAUGGGCCAAUUUGGUUAAUCGAUCAACGAUCACCCAAACGGCAUCGUGCCCUCUUUGCGUCCGCGGCAACCCUGAGACGAAGUCCAUGGUGAUGUUUUCCCACUUCCACUCAGGUAUCUCAAGGGGUUGUAACAAGCCCGAUGGUUUUUGAUGCUCCGCCUUAACCUGUUGGCAAAUGAGACAUUUUUGCACGUAUAGAGCGAUUUCCUUCUUCAUAUUAUCCCACCAAUAGGUUCCUUUCAGGUCCUGAUACAUCUUGCUACUACCCGGAUGGAUUGUAUACUUGGACCGAUGGGCUUCCUCUAGAAUCUCCGUUUUCAACGACUCAUCCUUCGGCACCACUAUUCGAUUUCGAUAUUUUAAAACACCUUCAGGACUAAAAUUGAAAUCAGUUGUUUCUCCUUUUCCCACUUUCUCUCCCCAUUUCUGCACCAGUGAAUCUUCCUUUUGAGCUUCUUUAAUCCUUUCCAAGAGGGUGGAGGUUACCGUAAUGUUACCAAAAAUCACUUUAUGACUCCCAAGGUAGGGUUUCCACUCACAAACCGACUCGAGUAAAUUCCACUCUUUAAUCAUUAACCCUGCUACUUACGCCUUGCGACUCAAAGCAUCGGCCACUACAUUCGCCUUGCCUGGAUGGUAGUUGAUGGUACAGUCGUAAUCCUCCAGAAAUUCCAUCCACCGUCGCUGCCUCAUGUUUAUUUCCUUCUGUGAGAAGAGGUACCUCAGGCUUUUGUGAUCAGAGUAAACCUCGAAGGUUACCCCAUAUAGGUAGUGUCUCCAUUUCUUCAGAGCAAAAACAACUGCGGCUAACUCCAGAUCGUGGGUUGGAUAAUUCUGCUCGUGGGGUUUUAACUUUCUUGAGGCAAAAGAUAUCACAUUUCGGUUCUGCAUCAGCACACAUCCUAGACCUUCCCGCGACGCAUCGGUAUACACGGCAAACCCGUCGCCUCCGUUAGGUAAAACUAGACUGGAGCCAUGGUCAAUCUUUUCUUUAACUCUUGAAAACUUGUCUCACUUCGGGCAUUCCAAAUGAAUCGACCAUGUUUCUUUGUCAAGUCAGUUAGGGGACCGGCCAGUUUGGAAAAGUCCUUGAUAAAACGCCGAUAAUAUCCAGCCAGUCCUAGAAAGCUGCAGACCUCGGUCGGAUUUUCUGGCCUAUUCCAAUUAGUCACAGCUUCUACUUUCGCUGGGUCAACUGAAAUACCCGCUUGAGAAAUUACGUGUCCCAGAAAAGCAAUUUUCUCCAGCCAAAAUUCACACUUGCUGAACUUGGCGUACAGUUGAUGGUCUCUUAGGGUUUGUAAGACAAUCCUCAAGUGUUUCUCAUGCUCUUCACGCGUCUUGGAAUAGACUAGAAUGUCAUCGAUGAAGACUACGACAAAGCGAUCCAGGUAGGGCUUAAAAACCCUAUGCAUUAAAUCCAUGAAAGCGGCAGGAGCAUUGGUUAAUCCAAAGGACAUAACUGCUGUGACACCCCGAAUAUUAGGAAGUUGUUUGUAAAGAAGAUACUAAAGUGUAUUUCUUUGGGUUUGAUUUAAAACCUUAUUUUGUUUUAAAAGACUAGAAACCCUAAUAUUUUAAUCAAAAACCCUAGUUUACUUGUGACUAACCGGAUUUCUUAAAUCUCUCAUAUUUUAAUUGAAACCCUAAUUUUAAUCACUGGAAUUGUAAAAUUCCUCACGUCUUUCUUAAAAAUGCCCUUUAUUUGGAAAUUAUUUAUUUAUUAUAGCCCUACUACCCAGUCAUUCCACAAUAAGUGCAAAUGAACCUAGAAAGUAGGGUUUCACUUUUCGGUUUCAAGAUUGGAGCAAAUUAGGGUUUUCGUGAUUUUUUGUAGGAUGAUUUUCGGUACGGAAUGAGGAUCAAAUUUGGUGAUUAAAAGUGACUUUUAGGUGAGAAAUAAUAUGUGAUUAGAAGCAAUGAUAAAAAGUUAGUGAAUAGGAAGUAAAAACCCUAGUACGUGUGUUUUAAAGAAAAACGGCGCGAACCGACGGGUAUCGAUCACUACCGAUUGAACCCACCACUUGACCACCACUUUCUUACUACCACAUACCCUUGAUAUUUUUACAAAAUAUCCCCCCUCAUCCUCAGCCAUGUGACCAAAAUAUGUGGCCCAAAAUGCAAGGAAAAGAAAGAGAAAUUUGGAAGGUUUUGGUGGUGACAAGUGUCACACACCUAUGGCUCUUUGACCAAACCAAUUGUCUUGCCUUUUUAUCUUCCAUUUAGCUUCAUUCUUCCUCAUUUUCUUCUAGUUUGGCUGAGACAAGAGAGAGAGAAAGAGUUUCACCAUUUCAUCUUGAUUUGCACCAUCCAAGUGAGGAACCAAAAUUCUAAACCGAUUAAAGUGUGAGUUGUGACCUUGGGAUGCUAGGGGAAACAAAAAUUCCAAGAGGAGAUGAAGUAUUACUCUUGCAAGCUUCUUUUGUUGAGGUAUAAGGUCUAACCCAUAGCUUUGGUUCUCUUAUUUUUUAUUAAGAUGUUACAUAAUUCAUGUUUUGGUUAGAUUAGUUGUGAUACAAGUUGUUGGGAUGAUUUUUAAGGUGAUAUAUGUAAGUUAGGGUUUGAUGAUUUCUGCCUAUACUUGCUAUAUGGAUGAUAUAUGUUGUAUCUAAGCUUAUAUAGGAGGUUGUGGUGGUGGAUAGAGGCAAGAAAUGAAGAAAGUUUCAUUGAAUCCCAAAAUUCCCAGAUUUCUGGAAAAUUUCAGCCUUGUUCUGUCCGGUUUUAUUUCACCAUGUUAGAGGCCGAAUUAGGCUUGGCAUAAAACAUAAAAGUUGUAGAUAAUGGUAUUUUAUAGGUUCCUACAAAAUUUCAACUCAAUCGGAGCAACGUAGCCUGUGAAAAGACCAAAAUACCCUCACUGUUUUAGGAUGUUUCCAGUGUUCCGUUUUAGUCAGUUCAUCCAGUUUAUCAUGUUUAUUUACUAGGAUCCGUGCAGAUUUAGCCAUUGGUUAAAACAUUAAAGUUUUAGUACUCUGGCUUAGCUUUUAAACACCUCAAAGAACACCUUAAACGGACCUUGGUACCCUGAGAUAUGACCAUUCUAGUGCAGUGCGGUUAAUUAGCCGUAUAGUUGGAAGUUGGCUCUGUAAAUUGGGAAUUUGACCAGGUUACACUGGAAAUUUGACCAAGUGAUCUUCAUGAAAGUUGUAGGCCUUCAUUUUAGCUUCGAAAUGGUAUAAUUUUUACACCAAUUCGCCUCAGAUGUGUUCUUUCCGCAAAAACCUGUCAAAUCUGUCUUUUGUAAACUUCAUUUCCGCAUUUGUUAUUAGUUGAUUUAAGUCCUUGUAUUGUCUUAAGCCUAUUGAAUGGCUAUUGAACUUGGAUUGUUGUGUGUAUACCUUUGGGCUGAUGAGAAAAAUAAUGAAGCCAUAUAUGGCUGGAAUUAGGUAAACACAAAGGGCAUGCUGCCCAAAUUUACGCUCGAGGACUAUAGAAAAAUACUUGCGACUUGGGUCGAGUUGAUAUGAAUAGUACUUGAGCCAUCUAGGACUUUGGCUAUCUUGGUUCGAGGGUUAUAUGUUAAAGCCUAGUCGAACUUGUGCCCUUGAGAAAAGGACAUAAUGACCAAUGUAAACUCGUUUUCCUUGCACUUUCGACUCAAAUGUUAUUUCCAAGUAAAUAUGCUGCAAAAUCUUACGAUUUGAAAAGCGAGCAAGUGUUUCACGAAUGUCUCUCAAAUGAAUUUCAAUUAUUUGAUUCUCAUUGAACGAAACGUCUAAGUUUCGAAUCUUAGUCAUGUUUCAAAGUUCUCAAACUGAGUUUUAUCGCAGAUUUGGACUCCGAACCCGGAGUAUAACCUGAAAGUGACCAGUAAAGGCACUAUAUCUUGUGGUAAGUGCUUUCAAAUACCGAAUUGCACUAGAUACUUGAACUCGAUACGUGACCAAUAUGAGUACAUGUUAUAUACGUGAAUUGAUAGGGCAAGAGUGUACUUUAUCGCACUUGCCCUUGCGUGAUAUACUUGUUUAUUGAUUGCAAUUGACUUGAUAUACUUGUUUAUGAUGUGCGCACUUCCUGAAAUUCCAGAAACCCUGUGGCGAGUUACUCUAGUCGAGCCGGCAAGGGCUUAGUCGAUUGGGUAACGAACCCUGGGUCUCUUGUUUUGUCGAGUGGAGUGAUAUCUCCUCGACUAAUCGGUAUACUCGAGUAUUACCACCCGUGUUUAUUGAGGAUUUUGGGCCCAGUAGGGGGUGUGAAUGGUGGACGGAGAGUAGUGUAAGUGGUGCUCUACUGGAUUGGUUCCUUUACUUGAAAGUUGACGGAGUGUCAACUACUACGUGAUCAAGCUCCUGAUGAUGAAAUGGGAAGUUGGCUCCUGAGAGCCAUCCGUAUCCUUAUGCUUUGGAAUGAAUAUUGUUUAUUGGAUUAUUGUUUCUUCUGAAAACUUUUACACUCGCUCAUUUUGAGAUUGCUACUUGAAGUGUUAUUGCUCAUUUUUAUGAACUCUUCAUGCUCGUUACUUUGCUAUAUCGAAAACUUGUACUUAUAAAUAAUGGUCAAUUUGCUAUUUGGAACCUCACUGGGCUUUUAGCUCAUACCACGCUAUUUGUUUUCCUUACAGGGGGUACGAGCGAGGCGUGAGAGGUGUAAAGACUAGCGUAGUCUAGUUGUUUUUGAUUUUUGACUUUUGACUUGUACUCGCGCUAUUUCUCGAAUAGAAUGUUUUAUAUAUUGAGGCUUCGUACCUUGAUUUUCAUCAAUGUAAAUUCUAAGCUUGAAUUGCGAUGUUAUUUAUGGUCCAUGAAUGAAUGCACGUGAUACGAGUGAGUGAGUCCUGGCGAGAGCUGGGCAGGCGGUCCGCCAAACCCUUUGGUACGCCUCAGGGAGAGGUGGGGUCGUCACAACUGCAAACUCGUAAUGCCCGUAUCUUGAGUUGAAAGCAGUUUUCAGAAUAUCCUCCUUCCUGAUUAAUAGCUGAUAAUACCCUUGACGGAGAUCCAGUUUCGAGAAAACCACCGCUCCUUGCAACUGGUCAAACAACUCAUCUAUGUGGGGCAGUGGAUACUUAUUUUUCACCGUAAUAUUAUUCAGGCCCCGAUAAUCGAUACACAUCCUCAAACCACCGUCCUUUUUCUUCACAAACAGUACAGGGGCUCCCCAAGGAGACCCACUCUCUUGAAUGAAUCCCCGCACCAGAAGGUCCUGUAAUUGCAUCUUUAGCUCCUUGAGCUCAGCAGGAGCCAUUCGGUAUGGUAUUUUUGAAAUAGGUGAGGAUCCCGGUAGCAGGUCUAUUUUGAAUUCAAUCUCUCUUUCCGGAGGCAGAGCUACUAACUCAUCAGGGAAUACAUCCGAAAAUUCCUUUACUAUGGCCACGUCCUCCACCUGUAACUUAUCCGUGGGGGUAUUAAUCAGUAAGGCUAAAAAUCCUUGCACCCCUCUACUUAGCAGUUUCCUAGCCCGAAUGCCCGAAAUCAAAGCAGAUGAGGCUAACCUACCCCUUAUAUCCAACCUUAAGGUCGCCUCACCAGGAAUACGGAAUUCUACCACUUUUAUUUUACAAUCCAGUUGGGCAUUAUACUUGGCUAGCCAGUCCAUACCCAAUAUCACAUCAUACCCCUUAAUGACCAAGCUUAUCAAGUCUCCUAACAAUCUCUUCUCUCCUACCCACACUUCACAAUCCCUAUAAACCAUUGUCGCGCCCCACUUUUUGAGUAUGGUGUGAAAGUAGUGUGUAUGUGAACGUGUGUAAACAUGAAAAUAAAAUGCCGGGGGAUUGUGAAAUGCGACGGUUUGGCCAAAUAAAGUUCAAAAAGAGUUUUUGAAUGGAAAAAUGGAGUCGCCACUUGGUAUAGAGUUAAGGUGUACCAAGUCACCCAAAAAGUGAUUUUUUUUAAAAAUAAAAGUAAACAAACCCUUUUUGAAGAAUUUUAGGUCUACGUAACCAAAGCAAGGGAUCGGGGGUCACAUUUGAUAAGGGAGAAGGCAAAGGCAAAGCCUAAGGCACUCCCUUACCCUAGCCAAAGCUAGUUGCGUGACUUAGCCCCUCUUUUCCUAAUUCUUCUACCCAAAGUAUGUGUUGCAUGUUGGAUAUGACUAAUGGAUAUGAAAAAAAUGCAAUCCUAAAUCUAAAAUGUCUCGUGUGAGGUUUUUUGGUCCCAAUCACAUGAAUUGUGAUGGCCAAUAAGGAAAACUCUCAUAGAGGUCACGGGUAAUGCAAAUGAAGACCCACAUAUGAGUGCAAGUGUGAAAAUGUAAGAGGAAUGCAAAAGAAAAUAAAAACACAAAUGUAAGUGCAAGUGUGCAAAUGUAAGAAAAGUGCAUGUGUGCAAAUGUAAGAAAAUAUGCAUGUGUGCAAAUGUAAGAAAAGUGCAUGUGUGCCAAUGUAAGAAAAUAAAGGUGUUCGUGUGCAAGUGGAUGAAAAUAUGGUAUAAAUAGUAGUAAAUGCAUAUAAAUGCAAUUGGGUGCAAUUUGUGAGGUAGAAAAUAAAUAAGUGAUAGGGAAAGAAGAGAAGUGUGUGAAUAUGGCAUGUGGAGUGAGAAAAAUAUAAGUAGUGGGAAAUGUAGAUAAAAAAUGAAAAAGUGAUAUGCAUGAACCUAGAGGAAUGCAUCAAGUCGGGUACGGGAAUGACUCCUAAUUUCACGACUUUAAUUUUCCCUUUGAUUAGAAGGAAGAACUAGCGUGCUAAGGCUAUUUUGUAGCCACACUCGCUCGUUUCCCUUACCAAAAGGGGACUCUCAAGCAAAUGUACCCUAUAACUAGCAUGAGGAUGCAAAAACCUAAAAUGAAGGGGAAAGGGUUGGAGGGGCAUGCCAAAUGCUAGAAAACUAAGAAAAAUGCAUGAAAUGUAGUGAGACAUGCAAGUAUGUACUAGCGAGGGAGAUUCCUAAGGGUCUAGCAUUGGACUAGCCCAUAUCUAUGAAUUCCUACUAGCGUUGGACUAGUGUGGUGACGUGCAUUCAUCCAUCAUAUUCAUCUAUGACUAUAGAAAGCAAGUAGACAUGUCAAUCACCUAUAAACACAUAGCACAUAACACUUAGCAUGCUCGACUAGAUGCAAGAGCCUAGUAAAGCAAAUUAACACGUAGCAACAAAAGCAAGCAAUCAAGCUAAUGAACCUAUUACAUUUGCUAACUAAAACAAAAGGGGAAGGGGAAAAAUGGACAAAAUUUCUCUCCAAGCCCAAUCUAUUACAAGCCAAGAGGUGUACACAUACCCCAUAAAAGAAUAACUUAAUAAAAGCAAAAGUAAAUGAAAUGAAUGAAAGGAAUUAAGGAAAAACAAGGAAAGCAAAGUAGACAUGCAAUUCUCACUUAGCACGUUGGAUCACAUAGGAGAGAGACAAAAAAGAUAAAAGAAGUUAUACCUCCCUUGAGUUGAUGCCUUAAAUGGAGUGAAAUCACUUAUUUAUCCUCCAAAAUAAAAGAAAUGGUCAAGGUACCAAUUUAUUUGGGAAAAUUAAAGAAAAUAGGCAAACACAAGCUCACUUGGUCAUAAAGCCCAUAAAGUCAUGACUUUAGUGCAAUUGAAACAAAGCAUAGUAAGUAAUUGAAACAAACGAGCAAUGAAGUUGUAAAAUUAAAACUACCAAGGACCAAAUUGAGGAGAUUAUUCAAUUGAUUGGGUCAUAGCAGCAUGAGUUAGAAGCCAAGGGGUCAAAGUGUAAUUUUGGGAAAGUUAUUUCAUGCAAUCUUCAUGCAAGGACGUGAGAAACAUUCUGCAAUCAAGUUUCAGCAAUUCUUUAAGAUUUCUGCACCAUUCCAGCCGAGACCUUUUACCCAUUUCAUAAUGCAAGCAGGUUCAUCAAAUUCUCAGAUUCUACCUAUCAAUCAUCGACUAAACACACAAUUUCGUUGCGGGUUUGAAGCAAAGAGUUGGAGCUGACCAUCAAGGAUAAAAAGUAAACAGCAAAAGAAGGAAGAAGAAAAAGUGCAGCAGUGGUUUUCAUAUCAGCAAAACAAAGGUGCAGCCAAAUAUUCUUUGUGCCCUUGAAGAACUAGAAUCUGACCAUGAUGAAACAAACAUCCACCAACUGAUAAACUUUGAUGCUAUAAAUGCAAGACAUGAAAGCAUGAAGAACAGAAAUGUGGACUUCAUGAGUUGCGAAUCGUGGUGCAAUAUCUUGACAACAAUGGUUCCAGCUAAUCCUGGAACUCACGGUUUGGCAGCAAUUCAACUUUUAUUACGUUCUUAACUAGCAUAUGGACAACACAAUCCAAACUCCAAGAGACUACAGGUCACAGCAAGAGUGAUUAAAUCAUGGAGCUUUGGUACUUCACAACUUCCAGUCGCAAACGCAGCCAACGUGACUUGAACAUCUACCAAGACUUGACCAGAAAAUCAAGGAAAGAAAAGGUUCUGUAGAUAUUGCUGCAAUAACUCAGCACAACAGAAAUGAAAUUCAACCCUCUUCACAUGCAGAAACAGUCAUGAAGCUGAAGGUGUUAGAUGGAGCAUUACAAGAACCAGAUGGAUUCGGACUGUGAAAAAGCAAAAUGAAGUGCAAGAAACAGCGAGAAUCCUCUUUUCAUUCCAUGCACUUGAAGGGCCAGUGGCUCAAAUGAUGAAACAAUCAUCAACCUGAUAAUGGACUUCAAUACAAACAUGAAUAAAAGUCAUGCAAAAUCAGGAAGACUUUCUACUUCUACUUGUGGCGACUGACGAAGCUUUAAGCUUCAGCAGCUUUACCCGAAAGAUGCAGUCAUGCGAUUGGACAAGCAAGAAGACAGCUCUAGGUGAAUGCAUACAUAGUAUACCCAUUAACCAAACAUUUCAAAUGAAGCCUGAACCAGAACAAGUAAAAGGAAGGAGACGGAUCCAUCCAGAAUUUUUGUGCGCUAAUCUGGACGCAAAGCAAACCAAAAUCCAGGCGACAUGAUCGUCCAACAUUCCUCCUAUUUCUAUCAAACGCAGCAAUGCAACUUAACUAUGAAAACAGAUCGAAGAUGCCAAGGGAGAAAAUGAGGUAAACAUGUUCACGAAAGUCCCACUCAAUAGCGCACAAAACUGGAAGCUUUUUCCUCGUUCAACCACAGUAAACUUUGGUAACUCAUGAAAACUUUGAAUUUUUUAGUGAUCAUCUAUGACAAACACAUGUCAGGCAUUAAUCUGUCAUGAAAGACAGCGAAAUGAAAGUAACCAACCCCAAAGAAAGUCCUGAGUUUCGGUCUCUCAAAACCCCACUUUAGAUCUGUACAUGUCAACAACAUAGAACGAUCAAAGGUGCAAACUUCCUGCAAUUUUCUUUCGGCUAAGACACAAUCAUGCAAGACACCGAUUCAUUACCCCAAACUUCAGAUUUUUCAUUACCCAAAUAAGAACCAUCAAUCGUAUUGCAUCCGAAACAGAACCAGUAAACAGCAAAGAAAUGCAAACAACCAACUAAAACAAGCAGCUUUCAACUAUAAAAGGGUGAACACAAUACCUUGAUCAAGGAAGGGAACGCGGGAUGACCAAGAAAGGGCUCAAGUGAUUCUUUUAGACGCUCGAAGGAAUGUGAGACGAUGAUGAAUGAAGGCCCAGUCUAUCCCCUCCCGCAACUUCCAGCCGAAGAUCCUUCUUGCUUUUUCCCCAUUUUUUCUUCCUUUCCUUUGCUCUCCUCUGUCGUUUCUUUUUUCAUACCCUAGCCGUCAUUUUAUCCCCCCUCUGAUUUCCAUUUUUCUUUCUCUCCGUCGGUGUUCUUAGCUGUCCUUAAAAUCCUCGCUCUCUCUACCCAGCUCCCGACCCUUUUCAUCCGCCGUCCUCUAUCUCUUCAGCCGCAAACCUCCACUCUCAGCUCACUCUUCUCCCCAGCCAGCCCGUAGCUUCCUUGAAGUUUUCUCUCCCAAAACCUAGCCGCUACCCUUCACUCCCUAGCCGUUCCUCUCUCUCUUUUUAGAUUUUCAGCCGUCCUCUCAAAAACCUCCUCUCUCAACCAGCCGUCCAGUGUUUUUUUUCUCCUUUUCUACCCACAGUCGCCAGCCAACCUCUCUGGUUUUCUUUUCUUAGCCGUCACCGAACCCCCCUUUCUUGGCUGUCUUUCAUUCUUUUUAUAGCUAUAAAAUCCCCCCAUAACCUAGAAUUAAAGGAGGAGAUUGGAGCUGCGUUUUUCUUCCAAUUUUCUGAGCCAUCCGAUGACCUCUGCAUGAAGCUUGCGUCCCUUUUUUUCUUUUUCUUCUUUUUCCCUUUUUUUUCAUUUAAUUAACAAUAAACAAAAUAUGAAGAAAAAUAACUAAUUAAGUAAGAUAGAAUAAAAAUGAGCGAAACUAGGCAUAAAAAGAUAAAAUCAAAUGCUAAUUUUUCUUUCUCUUUUCCUUCUUUUCUUUUUCUCUUUUUUUUAAAAAAAAAAUUAACAAUGAAUUUGAAUCUAAAAUAAAUGCUCGUAAACUAAUUAAAAUACAAUAAGAGGCACGAAACAGGAAACAACCAAAAUAAACCUAAAAUUGAAACAAAUAAAUCUAAAAUUAAACUAAUAAAAAAAUAAAAUUCGAAACCAAAAAUUUGGUGUCUACAACCAUACUAGUAACCAAACGUUGAUUCCCCGUAGGUGUACUAACUUCUAGGUCGUAUGGUAAACUAGCAGGUUUUAUAUCGAUGCCACACAGGAAAUCAGGGUUAACGAAGGAAUGAGUGGCACCAGGAUCAAUUAAAACUUUGGCAAAACGGUGAAAAAUAGGGAUCGUACCUUCUACGACCUCUGAGGAAUCUGGGACCUGUCGAGGUUCUAAUGAAUAUACUCGAGCUGGCACCUUAGGUUUCGUCCCAUUCCCCUUAUCCGGUCCCGUAGUGGUCUUUGGCACGGUUUGAGUUCCCUUUCCGUCUUGCUUUAAGAGUAGGCAGGUAGCAAGCUGGUGGUCUGCGCUUCCGCAUCGCAGACAUUUGCCUCCAUUCUUCCAGCAAUUAUUUUCAGAGUGAUUCGGCUUUCCGCAGUACCCACAAGGCCCACGGGACGCCGAACCUGAACCCUUCUAGAAGUUUCCGCCCUGGCCUCUCCCGGCUGGGCCACCCCUGGUCUGAACCCCUCUGUCGAAACUCGUCUGUCGGCCACCUCCAGCUCCUCGUCCCAACUUGGAGGGGGUACCUUUAUCCCCUUGCCCGGAGAUGCAUCCAGGAAAACCCCGCUUCUUCGCCUGGAAGUUCCGUACUUGUACCCUGGCGCUCUCUACCCGUUGGGCCUUCUCAACGGCCUCGCUAAAAGCGUUAAUCUGGGCCACCGCGAGGUCCUUCUGAAUUUCCACGUUUAGGCCCUGGAUAAAACGCCUAAUUCGCCGUUGCUCCGUCAUAAUCAACUCAGGGGCAAAUUUGGAUAAGCGCGUGAACUGGCUUUCGUACUCCGCGACAAACUGAGCCCCUUGGCGGAGUCGAAUAAACUCAUCUUCCUUCCUCUCCUGAACUAGAGGGGGGAAAAAUUUCGCGUUAAUCUCUCUCAUAAAAUUUACCCAAGUCCUGGGCGUUUGUUCCCGCUCCCAUUUUUGCCGAAUGACAUUCCACCAGGAACGGGCCGCCCCUUCCAGCUGGAAAAUGGUAAAAAUCACCUGCCGUUCUUCGGUAUAGUGCAGGGCAGCGAAAAUAUCGACCAUCUUCUCAAGCCACCUUUCGGCGACAUCCGGAUCAGGUCCCCCAAUGAACUUGGGUGGAGCAAACUUUUGAAAUCAUUCAAGAGCUCUGUCUUCGCUCUCGACGUGAUUGCCAGGGUUUCGAGGAUUAGGGUUUGGGUUUUGGCCCUGUUGCUGCACCACUUGUGCCAGCAAGUUGGUCAUUUGCUGCAUAGCGGCAGCUAUUUGCACGUUGGGGUCAGGAUUAGGUCUAGAUGAGGGUUCCCCAGUACCCCUGUCCGGUGUGGGUUGUCUAUUUCCGCGCCCACGCUCCCGUCCACUACGUGUACCUUCCAUGAACUCUACUUGGUGUCGCGCCCCACUUUUCGAUUGGGUGAAUGUGAGUGAUGAAGUGUGGUGUGAAUGUGUGCAAAAUGAAAAGUAAAAGGCCAUGGGACUUUGGAAAGCGACGAUUUGGCCAAAUGAAAUUUUAAAAAGGGUUUUUUAAAUAUGAAAACGGAGUCGCCACUUGGUAUAGAUUUGGGGUGUACCAAGUCACCCAAAAAGUGUUUUUUAAAGACAAAGUAGUAAAACCCUUUUUAAAACGACUCCUAGUCCACGUAAGCCAAAGAAAAAGGUUCGGGGGUCACGUUUGACAAAGGGGAAGGCAAGGAUAGAAUCCAAGGCACCCCUUUGACCUAGCCAAGGCUAGUUGCGCGACUCAAACCAAUUUUUCCUAAUUUUUCUACCCAAGGUAUGUAUCGCGUAUUGGAUAUGUCUAUAUGAAUGCAAAAACCUAGACCUAGGGGGAUUGGGGGAAAUUUCUCUUCAAAGGUUGAGUGGUGCCAAUCACAUUAAUUGUGAAGCCCAAUAAUGAUCCUUUUGGAGAGGUCACACCUAAACCUAAAUGACGUGAAAAAUGAGUGGAAUGCAUGCCAUGUGAAAGUGUGAGUUUGUGUGAAGCGAGAAAAAUGAUAAAAGUAAUAAGAUAAGAGUGCAAAUGUAGAUGAAAGUACUCGUGUGCGAGUGAAGAUAAAAUGCUCGUGUGCAAGUGAAAAUAAAAGGGUUCGUGUGCAAGUGGGGACAAAAAAGUGUUCGUGUGCAAGUGGGGACAAAAAAGUGCAUGUGUGCAAAUGAGACAAAAGUGAAAGUGUAAUGAUAGAGUGGAUUGAGAAUGCAUGAGCCUAGGGAAUUCAUGCAUAUUGGGUACGGGGAGACCUAAAUCGUGACUCAAUUUGCCCUUUGAUAGAGGGAAUACAAGCGUGCUAAGGCUUAGAAAAAGCCACACUCGUCUAUAUCCCAUAUUUAAGGGGACUCUUCAGGCAAAUGUACCCUAACUAGCAUGAGAUGCAAGACCUAAAGUGAGGGGACAGGGGAAUCGAGGAGCAUGCCAGAUGAUAAAAGUAAGGAAAAAUGCAUGAUAUGUAGUGAACAGGCGAAUAAUGCAUUAAUGAAAAACAAAGGAAAAAUCCUAUUGGGUCUAGCGUUGGACUAGCCCUUUCUAUGAAUUCCUAAUGAAAUAAUGAGCCACAACUAGCAUUGGACUAGUGUGGUGACGUACAUUCAUCCAUCACAUUCAUUCAUGCUAUAGAAAGCGAGUAGACAUGCCAAACACUUAUAAACACAUAGCACAUAACAAUUAGCAUGCUCGACUAGAUGCAAGGCCCUAACAAAGCAAAUUAACACGUAGUAACAAUUAGCAUGCAAGACACAUAAGACAAUUAAAGCCCUAACUAUUACAUUUGCUAGCUAGGCACAUGACUUCGAUAGGUCUUCAUUGAAUGCUCCUCCAAGCCCUAUCUAUUACAUUAGGGAGACCCUACUACAAUCUAAAAGGGGGAAGAGGAAUAAAAUAAUUAAAUCCCUAACUAUUACAAGCCAAGAGGUGUACACAUACCCCAAAAUGAAUAACUUAAAUAAAAAGCAAAAGUAAAUAAAAUAAGUGAAAGAAUUAAAGAAAAGCAAAGAAAGCAAAGUAGACAUGCAUAUUCACAUAACACGUAGGAGCACGUAAGAAAAAUAAACUCAAGAAUAUAGACGUUACCUCCCUUGCAAUGGAAAUCGAGUAAAUGAGAUAUUAGCUUCAAAACAAUACAAAGGUCAAGGUACCAAUUUAUUUGGCAAAUAAUCACAAAGGAUAAAAAAUAAGCAUGAAUUUGAAUCAAUUAAAUCAUGUCAACAAUUCACAUUUAAGAAGUCAAGAGAAGAAGGGACUUAAUUGCAAAAAUGAACAAAGUUUUGGGGUCAAAAAUUAAAUAAAAAUAAAGCUCAAGGACUUAUUUGCAAUUAAAGUAAGGACCCAAUUGAAUGAAAUUGAAAGUUUUUGGGGCCAUAGUGAAAACACUCGAACGUCAGGGGACUGGAAUGAAAUUUCGUUAUCAGGCUUCUUGGCAUAACAGGCCAUUGGGCCAUUUGUAUUUAUUUCGUGGGCCAAGGCCUUCCUAGCCCAACCGAAAACCCUAAGAGCACAAGCAGGCCAGCCUAUCUUCAAGUCCGAACAAAAUUCAACUAAAACAGACGGGCUUCAUUUCUCAAGCCCAUGUCACAACCCAGAAAAAACAAGUCAUCAAUCCACUUAUCAAACCCAAACAAAUUAUGAUUACCCACAACCCAAAUCAUAAUACCAAACCUAACAAGAUUAGCAAAUCAACUAAAAUUAUUAUGCCAUAAUUAUAAUCCAAAUCUAAGAAUUAAUCUAUCCAACAAAUCGCAUAAAAUAUGCAAACAGAGGAAUAAGCUUAAAGGGCAAAAUUAGGUCGAUUUUCCAGAUUUUGGGUCAUAGUGAAAUUAGACAGGAAUUGAGGGGCUACACUGAAAUUUACAGAGAUUCAUACUUCAUGCUUCGCAGAAUCCUUCUUCUGCGAUGCAAACUUUCAAUGGAAAAGUUUCUGCAACUUCUGAUGUUUCAAAACACCCGACAAGUUUACACGGCAACAACAUCACAUCGUUAUGGAAUGCAAAAACAGCAAAAUUAAACAAAAUCAAUUUCAAAAGUUCAUGGCCUCUCUCCCUGCGCCAACUGAUGAAAAUGCACAGAUUCUGGCCAGUUUCGGACUGGCCAGAUUUCAUCCUGAACUCAUGCAGAAAAAGGAAUAAAAAUCUUCUCCUUUUUGGUUCAAAAUUUUACUCAGUCAUUUUAUCAAACAACUAACGGUCAUUGGAAAGUUCAACAACUCUCUGCCUAAUUUACACUACAACCGGCCCCAAAAUUUAUCAGCAACCAAAACAUUCAAUCCAAUUCACGUAUGCAGCAUGUGUGUUCAACCAAAUGAGGUCAAUUAACAGGAAAAUUGCACCCAAAUGAAACCACAGAAAACCCAUGUCAAAAACUAGGCAGGCACUGAAAAUUCUUUGGAGAGAAAGAAACUUACAGUGUUCUUGUUCCGGUGAAAUUUUCACAGAUGGUGAUGGUAGAUUCGAUGAGGUUAUGGCAGCUCGGUGAAUUGGAAACCUCUGUUGCCGUUGCUGCUCAAAUCAUCCAUGGAAGAGGAGCAGAUGGAGAAGCAGUUGACGAGAGGCUCUGGUCGCGGCCUUUCCCUCUUACUUCUGCCCGAAGCUCUUCUGAAUGGCCUCGGCUUCUACCUUCACGGCUGCGGUGGUUUCGAUGAAGGUUGCGCGCGGUGAGGCAACGGCAGAUGGCGUGAGGAAGAGAGGAGAUUUGGGGUGGGCGGCAGUGCGCGAAAGAAAAACAAGGGGAGAAAACAGGGGCGGCCUCUGCUUCUCGUUUCUUUUUCCAGAAAAUUCUUCCCCUGCCCGAGCUCUUCUUCCACCUUGAUCAACCUUUGUCCGCCGCUCUUUCCUUGCUCUUUCCUUUCGUACCUCUUCUCAAUUUCCAUUUUUUCCCUCUGUUUUUCCUCUCAAGGCCGAAGCCCCCUGCUUAGCUCUCCAGAUUUUCAUCGUCCCCUCCCCUCUGUUUUUCCUCUCAAGCUCUGUUCUUUUUCCUUUUUCUUUUUGUUUUUUUUUGCCUGUCCGAAGCCUUUUCUUUUUUUCCUCCUUUGUGUUUCUGCUAUUCUUUUUUUCCGUUCCGCCCCGUAGCUUGUUUUUUCUUUGUUUCUUUUUUUCCACAAAUUCCCUAAGCCCAACAAGUGUCCUUGACACCUACCUCUCUAUACACUUGUCCUACAAUUCCUUAGACACUUGUCUAAUGAUUAUUUUGUACACUUGUCCAACAUGCACACUUCCACCUAUCCACACAUUUUUCUUUCUUUUUCAUUUUCAUUUUUCAAAAAUCAAUUAAAAAUAAAUUAACAAUUUUCAAACCAAAUUUAAGAGAAUUAAAGCCACUUUUGGUGUCUAACCCAAUUAAUAAAUAAAUAAAAAAAUGAAAUUAAAAAUAAUAAAAAUUUGGUGUCUACAGUUUGCCCCUCUUUGUCUGAGUUUUGAAAAAACUUGAGACAAAAAAGUAGACACCAAAUACUUACCUGUGUUAUUCGGCUGCGAAAUGAUUCGAAUGAACAGGAAUUCUAAAACGAGGACUGACCUCUUUAACAGAAAUUUGUUUUUUUUUUAAAUGAAAACUUUAAAAUGGGAUUGAUCCAGACGGGAAAUGUAAAAUGGGAUAGACCCACGGGAUAGACCCAGACAGAAAUUUAAAUGGGAUAGACCCACGGGAUAGACCCGGACAAAAAUUUAAAUGGGAUAGACCCACACAGAAAUUUAAAUGGGAUAGACCCAGACAGAAAUUUAAAUGGGAUAGACCCACGGGAUGUUGUGAAGUUGGCGGCACGAAAUCCAGGCCCAACGUGAUUUUUGGAAUGUUGGCGGCACGAAACCCAGGCCCAACUUGAUUUUUAGAAUGUUGGCGGCACGAAAUCCAGGCCCAACUUGAUAUUUGGAAUGUUGGCGGCACGAAAUUCAGGCCCAACUUGAUUUUUAGAAUGUUGGCGGCACGAAAUCCAGGCCCAACUUGAUAUUUGGAAUGUUGGCGGCACGAAAUCCAGGCCCAACUUGAUAUUUAGAAUGUUGGCGGCACGAAAUCCAGGCCCAACUUGAUAUUUGAGGCACGAAACUCAGGCCCAACUUGACAUUUGAACUGUUGCGGCACGAAACUCUCAUUCAGACGACGAAUUCAGGCCCAACUUUGAUGUUGGCGGCACGAAAUUCAGGCCCAACUUGAUUUUUGAAUGUUGGCGGCACGAAAUCCAGGCCCAACUUGAUAUUUGGAAUGUUGGCGGCACGAAACUCAGGUCCAACUUGAUAUUUGAACUGUUGGCGGCACGAAACUCAGGCCCAACUUGAUAUUUGAACUGUUGGCGGCACGAAACUCAGGCCCAACUUGACAUUUGAACUGUUGGCGGCACGAAACUCAGGCCCAACGUGAUUUUUAGAAUGGUCAGUGGGAUAAGACCCAAUCCUGCCAUCCAAUUGGUGAAGAAAUUGAAUUUGAUUCGUCAAAAUACAAAAGAUUAAAUUUGAUUUUCCAAGAAACAAAAUUUUGAACUUGAUUUUUUGAUUUUUGAAUUUUUCUGAUUUUUCGAGAGAAUCUUUUUCACAAAUAAUUUGCCCCAGUGUAGGGCCCUUCUCCCUUCUUUCUCCUCUUUCUUCGGCAUCGGCCUUCCACAUCGCCAGAUGCUUUUCGUCGACUUCAACUGCGAAUACCUGCACAGGGCUUACGUGCACUCAAAUGAGCGUGACUGAUUUGAAAAAUGCAUUAGUUUGAUUCUUGGACGAAAUCCUCAAUUGGACUUACAAAAAUAUUUGCCCCUGUGUGGGCUUAUUUUGCGAAAUUUUGCAAAUAAAAAUUUUGCCCCAGUUUGGGCCCAUUUGAUUGCAAAAAUUGGUUUAGAUGAUUUCCCAUUUAUUUGAACAAAGAAAAACCGCACUUUUGCCCAUUUAGAAAAGAAUGCACAUAUACAACAAUGUGAAGAAACUUUAAUCGUCAAGUUUGAACUCAUGCAGAAAUUUCAUGAUGAAUUCCUCGAAAUAACACCAAAUUUAAGAAGAAGAUUUCUUCCUUACUUUUAGCAUUGGUGCUUAGGGUAAUGGGUCACCACUUCUGGUUGACUCAUCUUUUCAGGACCAAUCACAUGACUUUAUUUUUGAAAUGGCUAAGGAAAUGGGAGAUAAGAAUUUGUCUCAUUUUUGUGCCCCAGUUGUAUGUAAUCCAUUCAAUGUCACAUCUUAGUGAAAGCAAAGAGUUUGUUACCCUUAUUUUCAAGAAAACUUAGUCAACAUACAAGCUUUCUAGGCUUGUAACGUAUGGACAGAAGUGAUAGCUAAAACAUGUGGAAACGGGUUAUGCCCUUAUGAUCACAAAUGAUUGAUGGAUUUCGUACGAGCAUAAUCGUCACUUUGGAUUGUCAUGAAAGAAUAAGUCAACGAUGGACUUUAUUAGCUUGUAAUUUGGCUUGAAAACGAUAGCUAAAGAAGCAAUUUUCAAAGGACAUUGCACUGAAGAUCGCAUUUUUCAACAUCGCCCUCAUCUGGACUCCAGGUUCUUGGACUUGGUUUGACUUUUUAUCAUCACCCAACAGGGUCUUUCAACAUCAAAUCUUUUUGCAUCUUUCUUUGCAUUCAUUUUGCUCAUUUUUCCUUUUCUUUUUCCCCCUUCGCGGGGUUUCACAUGAAGAGCAGUGUCAACCUCACACCUAAUCAAUUCAGAAUACAGCAAAAACUUCCAGCAUCAGAAAUUUGCUUGACAGGGCUAUUGCAAAGAACAGAAGUCAGGACUUUCGGUUUUGUAAUGGGGUCAGGUGGGGUGCUUUAGAAAAGUUAAGGCUUGAAAACGGAUUUCAAAACUGGUUUGAAAAAUCUGAGAUCGCAUUGUUGCGCCAACCCUAUUUUAGGGUAAAAUCAGAAUUUGCCUCAGUUUUUGCUCAAUUGACGCUUUUUCUCUUUCAUUUUCUUUCUCUUUUUUUUUCGAUUUUUCGGCCUUCGGCCAUUCUUUUGAACUUUCACAAAAUUUGCCCCAGUUUAUUUUUGAACUGAGGUUCUCUUUUCUCUUUUGUCUUUGAUUUUGUGGCUUUUCACUUUUCACUUCUUGAAAUUUUCUUUUCAACUCAGACUCGCCCCCAGUGUGGGGUUUGCGAUUCUCAGGGUUCGCCAAACGAAGUAUUUUAUUCUGAAGGCUCAAAAGGGAUAACUAGAGAUAAAAUGUUCGAUUGGAAAAGAAGAUGGCCUGACUUGUAUUCCGUUCCUUACAAUAACUCUGAAAGGAAAUUUUCGCUAAUGCGAAAUUUUUUGCGUGUAUCUGAAUUAACUGACUGAGGAAGACCCUUGUUCGUCCAUAUUUGUGAAACGUAGGCGAUCCGUGCGGACAAAACUCUUCCCUUUCUUUCUUCUUCUUUUUUUCAAAACUGGACCCCAAGUGGAAUCUAAUUUCCCCAAUUUGCGGUUCCCUCCUUAUUCUAGCAUUUUUGCUUUUCUCUUUUUUCAAAAUUCCCCAAUCUCCUUCCCCAAUGUGGGGUGCGAUCAUAUGUGCAGUCGAAAAGAACCACCAAUUUUUGCUCAAAUGAGGAUGCAAGGGAUAAAUAGUGUUUGGAUUGUAGAAACGAUGGCCAAAGUAUCAUUCUUACACUUCAUGACAACCAAAGUAACGAAACGGUCAUUGAAAAUCCAUUCCCCUAUUUGAUAUUUGAAAAUUUUCCAAUAUAGGGUAGAGAUCAUUAAGGCCUUUAUUUGAAACGAAAUUAUUCUUUCAUAGGCUCAAAUGGGAGAGCAAGUGAUAAAAAUCUGUAUAGGUAGUGAAACGAAUGCUCAAAGUAUCAUUCCAAAUUUUCAAAACAAACAAGAAUAAUGCACAUUUUUGCUUUCACUUAGAUGUGAAUUGAAUCCGGUUAAACCAAUGGAUAUUUUCAAGCAAAGAUGGCCCCAAUUUGCGAUUUAUCAAUCAAUGUGACUGAUUUUAUUUUGAGGUUCAGUGAAGGAAAAAAGAUAUCUCAUUGGGCCUUCUGAAUGACCUCUUUUAAUUCUGAACACUCUUAUUGUGAAUUUUCAGGUCGGAGGUUGAAAAAAUCCCAAUUUAGUCUUAUUUCUUAAAAUUCAUCAUGAAAUCUCCAAUUAAUAAGAAUAAAGAAUGAAAUGUACAUAAAUAUACACAAAACAAUGAUUGUCCAAAAAGUUUAUUGCUGAAAAAGUUUGAAACAAAUUUUCUCAUUCAAUUACGAUACAAGUGAGAAGAGAGAAACUUGUAAAGAGCUCCACAUAUACACUUUUUGUCUCCUUUUCAAAUAUACAAAAUUUCCCUUUGGAAAACAAUUACAACAUCUCUCAGAGGGUUUUCAUCGUAGGAUCCGCCCAAGAAUCAAAUAACACUUGUACUCUUCAAACUUUAUUGGAUUAAAAUUAUCAUCAGAUAUAGAAGAAUAUUUUUGCCUUAUUGAAAUAUUUUUAUGAAUGCAGGGGAGGGGGGAAACAAAAGAAAAAUACCCCGAGUUAGUAGGCAAAACUGCAAAAUCGGUAUGCAUGUCCUAUGGGAGAACCCUUUUAUGCCAAGGGUAGGCCUAGCAUGAGGAUGCAGUCCUCUGAGGUAGGCACUAUACUAUACCUGAUGGAUCUGAUCAACUUAUUGAGUGAAGAAUAAUUUCGAAAAUUUUGGUCAAUUGGAGUGACGAGAGACAUUCGUCAAAAUGAGGUCAACGUUCGAAUGGAUUGAUCACUUUUGAUCGAUACAAGAUAUUGCAAAAACGCACGGGUUUGACCUUGACGAACUUCCUAUCAAAGAGAUUGGAAUUCGUUUGAUAAAAUUUCUCAGUGAAGCAUGAGUCAAAAACCCAACUGAUUAAAUAGUUGGAUAUAAUGGAUGGUUUUCUCAAAAUUGACUAGAUUUCCCAAUUUGGAAUUCGAUAUCGAAACCCUAAUUGGUCAAUUGACAAUUUAUUAAAAAUUGACCGGAUUACCCUAAAAAGGGAAACAGGUCAAAUGAAUUCAAAGAAAUUUAUCCAAAAUUAAUCAGAUCACCCUAAAAAGGGUAAAUUGAUCAAAUAGAUUGAACGAAACUUGAUUUAUUCAAAAUCGGCUCGGUUGCCCUAAAAAUGGGUAAAUUGGUCAAAUGAAUGAAAUUGAAUUUAGGGAUUUAUUCAAAAAUCGGCCGAAUGACCCUAAAAAGGGUAAAUUGGUCCAAAGACCCUAAAAAGAGUAAUUUGGUCAAUUGAAUUGAUAAUUUAUUCAAAAGCGACCGAAUGACCCUAAAAAGGGUAAAUUGGUCAAAAGACCCUAAAAGGGUAAAUUGGUCAAAUGAAUUGACGAUUUAUUCAAAAUCGACCGAAUGACCCUAAAAAGGGUAAAUUGGUCAAAUGAUUUGACGAUUUAUUCAAAAUCGACCGAAUGACCCUAAAAAGGGUAAAUUGGUCAAAUGAUUUGAUGAAUGAAUUUAUUCAAAAAUGAUUAGAUUGAACUAAAAUUGAAUGAAUUGAAAAAAAGUGGAUUGGACAAGAUGGAUGAUUUGUUCAAAAAUCGAUUGAAUUAUUCGCCCACUGGGUGGUUUCAAAAAAUCAUUACAAUGCCUUGGUCUAUGAGCCUCUAAAAUCAAAAUUUGGCCUCUAUAUUUAUCGUCUCAACAAUGAGGAAUCAUUUGUGAAUUUUCUUGGAAUUAAUGUCCUUUUAUGCAAGGGGAUUUUACCAAUUUUGAGAAAAUGGCCAAAAGAUGAUUAUUAGAUGCUCAUAUUCCAAAGAUCACUCUAUGAAAAUGAUCGGAUCCUACCUUACCUUGUGCACUACCCCUUCGGACGGUACGAGAAAGGUAAACGUGCAAGUCUCAUUUGGAUUAUAUAUCCGAGACAUGGGGUGGUUUAUUCCUAACACGGGAUCCCCUAAAUGGCAUUCCCUUUCUAGGGUUUAUGCAUGAUGCCAGUUUAUUAAAGCUAUGUAAAUAUGUGACAAACAUGAAAUGUGAGCUAAAGGACAUAAAUAAUGCAACGGGGGGAAAAGGUCUAAACAUGAAAUGUAUUCACUGAAAAGUAAGUGCAAAGACUGAAAUUUAGACAUGUGAGCUAUCUAGUGGGUGAGUCACUAAAAGAGUGCCAAAGAGGCCCCUUAUUGCUAAGGCACAUGAAUGCAAUCCAAGAAAACAAAAGAAUGGUUAGUGCAAUUGAUAGUACACAUAACACAUUGGGAGCAAUUAAGAAAAAGAAAUACAAUAAAGCGAGUAAAAAGGGUAGAACCCCCUCCCUCGUGCCUAAUGUGCUUAAGAAAAGGUGAGGCCGACUCUACCCUAGGUUAUUCUAAUAUGGAUGCAUGCGGUUUGGUUCACUAAUGCCUAGACUCGAUAAAGCUUCGGCUCCCAAGCCUUCAGACCUAAAGGCGAAGGGUCAUCACUCCCAGGGCCUUCGGUCGGUGGCUCGAGUGAUCCCUUAGGUAGCGCUAUGGGCGCAGAGCACACCAUCCGCCUACCCAAGGCAAUCGGUCCUAGUCCUACAAGGCGGUGUGGGAUGGCGCCCACGAAAAUAAAAAUAAAAUGGGAUAAAGCAAGUAAACAUGCACGUAUGAAGUGUUCCCCUAUUUUGAGGGAAGGGGUUGAGAACCACGCGAGGCUCUAAAGGUGACACACACCCCCCCCAAAUGCAAUGCAAGCGCGAGAUAACAAGUAAACAUUCAUUCAAACAUACAUUCAUGAGUCGAGGGAUUGGUUUGAUUACGUGCAUAAGACAAAAGGUCCUAAAAAUGAAAAAUGCAAUCCUAAUAUCCACAUGCUAUGCAUAGAAAGGGUAGAAAAAGGAAACGAAUGGUUAAGUCAAAAUGCUUGGACCCACUUAGGAAGUCCCCAGUGGAGUCGCCAACUGUCGCGCCCCACUUUUUGAAUGAAUUGUGUGAGUGAUGUGUGUGUGAAGUGUGGUAUGAACGUGUGCAAAAUGAAAAGUAAAAAGGCCAUGGGACUUUGGAAAGCGACGAUUUGGCCAAAUGAAAUUUUAAAAAGGGUUUUUUAAAUAUGAAAACGGAGUCGCCACUUGGUAUAGAUUUGGGGUGUACCAAGUCACCCAAAAAGUGUUUUUUAAAGACAAAGUAGUAAAACCCUUUUUAAAACGACUCCUAGUCCACGUAAGCCAAAGAAAAAGGUUCGGGGGUCACGUUUGACAAAGGGGAAGGCAAGGAUAGAAUCCAAGGCACCCCUUUGACCUAGCCAAGGCUAGUUGCGCGACUCAAACCAAUUUUUCCUAAUUUUUCUACCCAAGGUAUGUAUCGCGUAUUGGAUAUGUCUAUAUGAAUGCAAAAACCUAGACCUAGGGGGAUUGGGGGAAAUUUCUCUUCAAAGGUUGAGUGGUGCCAAUCACAUUAAUUGUGAAGCCCAAUAAUGAUCCUUUUGGAGAGGUCACACCUAAACCUAAAUGACGUGAAAAAUGAGUGGAAUGCAUGCCAUGUGAAAGUGUGAGUUUGUGUGAAGCGAGAAAAAUGAUAAAAGUAAUAAGAUAAGAGUGCAAAUGUAGAUGAAAGUACUCGUGUGCGAGUGAAGAUAAAAUGCUCGUGUGCAAGUGAAAAUAAAAGGGUUCGUGUGCAAGUGGGGACAAAAAAGUGUUCGUGUGCAAGUGGGGACAAAAAAGUGCAUGUGUGCAAAUGAGACAAAAGUGAAAGUGUAAUGAUAGAGUGGAUUGAGAAUGCAUGAGCCUAGGGAAUUCAUGCAUAUUGGGUACGGGGAGACCUAAAUCGUGACUCAAUUUGCCCUUUGAUAGAGGGAAUACAAGCGUGCUAAGGCUUAGAAAAAGCCACACUCGUCUAUAUCCCAUAUUUAAGGGGACUCUUCAGGCAAAUGUACCCUAACUAGCAUGAGAUGCAAGACCUAAAGUGAGGGGACAGGGGAAUCGAGGAGCAUGCCAGAUGAUAAAAGUAAGGAAAAAUGCAUGAUAUGUAGUGAACAGGCGAAUAAUGCAUUAAUGAAAAACAAAGGAAAAAUCCUAUUGGGUCUAGCGUUGGACUAGCCCUUUCUAUGAAUUCCUAAUGAAAUAAUGAGCCACAACUAGCAUUGGACUAGUGUGGUGACGUACAUUCAUCCAUCACAUUCAUUCAUGCUAUAGAAAGCGAGUAGACAUGCCAAACACUUAUAAACACAUAGCACAUAACAAUUAGCAUGCUCGACUAGAUGCAAGGCCCUAACAAAGCAAAUUAACACGUAGUAACAAUUAGCAUGCAAGACACAUAAGACAAUUAAAGCCCUAACUAUUACAUUUGCUAGCUAGGCACAUGACUUCGAUAGGUCUUCAUUGAAUGCUCCUCCAAGCCCUAUCUAUUACAUUAGGGAGACCCUACUACAAUCUAAAAGGGGGAAGAGGAAUAAAAUAAUUAAAUCCCUAACUAUUACAAGCCAAGAGGUGUACACAUACCCCAAAAUGAAUAACUUAAAUAAAAAGCAAAAGUAAAUAAAAUAAGUGAAAGAAUUAAAGAAAAGCAAAGAAAGCAAAGUAGACAUGCAUAUUCACAUAACACGUAGGAGCACGUAAGAAAAAUAAACUCAAGAAUAUAGACGUUACCUCCCUUGCAAUGGAAAUCGAGUAAAUGAGAUAUUAGCUUCAAAACAAUACAAAGGUCAAGGUACCAAUUUAUUUGGCAAAUAAUCACAAAGGAUAAAAAAUAAGCAUGAAUUUGAAUCAAUUAAAUCAUGUCAACAAUUCACAUUUAAGAAGUCAAGAGAAGAAGGGACUUAAUUGCAAAAAUGAACAAAGUUUUGGGGUCAAAAAUUAAAUAAAAAUAAAGCUCAAGGACUUAUUUGCAAUUAAAGUAAGGACCCAAUUGAAUGAAAUUGAAAGUUUUUGGGGCCAUAGUGAAAACACUCGAACGUCAGGGGACUGGAAUGAAAUUUCGUUAUCAGGCUUCUUGGCAUAACAGGCCAUUGGGCCAUUUGUAUUUAUUUCGUGGGCCAAGGCCUUCCUAGCCCAACCGAAAACCCUAAGAGCACAAGCAGGCCAGCCUAUCUUCAAGUCCGAACAAAAUUCAACUAAAACAGACGGGCUUCAUUUCUCAAGCCCAUGUCACAACCCAGAAAAAACAAGUCAUCAAUCCACUUAUCAAACCCAAACAAAUUAUGAUUACCCACAACCCAAAUCAUAAUACCAAACCUAACAAGAUUAGCAAAUCAACUAAAAUUAUUAUGCCAUAAUUAUAAUCCAAAUCUAAGAAUUAAUCUAUCCAACAAAUCGCAUAAAAUAUGCAAACAGAGGAAUAAGCUUAAAGGGCAAAAUUAGGUCGAUUUUCCAGAUUUUGGGUCAUAGUGAAAUUAGACAGGAAUUGAGGGGCUACACUGAAAUUUACAGAGAUUCAUACUUCAUGCUUCGCAGAAUCCUUCUUCUGCGAUGCAAACUUUCAAUGGAAAAGUUUCUGCAACUUCUGAUGUUUCAAAACACCCGACAAGUUUACACGGCAACAACAUCACAUCGUUAUGGAAUGCAAAAACAGCAAAAUUAAACAAAAUCAAUUUCAAAAGUUCAUGGCCUCUCUCCCUGCGCCAACUGAUGAAAAUGCACAGAUUCUGGCCAGUUUCGGACUGGCCAGAUUUCAUCCUGAACUCAUGCAGAAAAAGGAAUAAAAAUCUUCUCCUUUUUGGUUCAAAAUUUUACUCAGUCAUUUUAUCAAACAACUAACGGUCAUUGGAAAGUUCAACAACUCUCUGCCUAAUUUACACUACAACCGGCCCCAAAAUUUAUCAGCAACCAAAACAUUCAAUCCAAUUCACGUAUGCAGCAUGUGUGUUCAACCAAAUGAGGUCAAUUAACAGGAAAAUUGCACCCAAAUGAAACCACAGAAAACCCAUGUCAAAAACUAGGCAGGCACUGAAAAUUCUUUGGAGAGAAAGAAACUUACAGUGUUCUUGUUCCGGUGAAAUUUUCACAGAUGGUGAUGGUAGAUUCGAUGAGGUUAUGGCAGCUCGGUGAAUUGGAAACCUCUGUUGCCGUUGCUGCUCAAAUCAUCCAUGGAAGAGGAGCAGAUGGAGAAGCAGUUGACGAGAGGCUCUGGUCGCGGCCUUUCCCUCUUACUUCUGCCCGAAGCUCUUCUGAAUGGCCUCGGCUUCUACCUUCACGGCUGCGGUGGUUUCGAUGAAGGUUGCGCGCGGUGAGGCAACGGCAGAUGGCGUGAGGAAGAGAGGAGAUUUGGGGUGGGCGGCAGUGCGCGAAAGAAAAACAAGGGGAGAAAACAGGGGCGGCCUCUGCUUCUCGUUUCUUUUUCCAGAAAAUUCUUCCCCUGCCCGAGCUCUUCUUCCACCUUGAUCAACCUUUGUCCGCCGCUCUUUCCUUGCUCUUUCCUUUCGUACCUCUUCUCAAUUUCCAUUUUUUCCCUCUGUUUUUCCUCUCAAGGCCGAAGCCCCCUGCUUAGCUCUCCAGAUUUUCAUCGUCCCCUCCCCUCUGUUUUUCCUCUCAAGCUCUGUUCUUUUUCCUUUUUCUUUUUGUUUUUUUUUGCCUGUCCGAAGCCUUUUCUUUUUUUCCUCCUUUGUGUUUCUGCUAUUCUUUUUUUCCGUUCCGCCCCGUAGCUUGUUUUUUCUUUGUUUCUUUUUUUCCACAAAUUCCCUAAGCCCAACAAGUGUCCUUGACACCUACCUCUCUAUACACUUGUCCUACAAUUCCUUAGACACUUGUCUAAUGAUUAUUUUGUACACUUGUCCAACAUGCACACUUCCACCUAUCCACACAUUUUUCUUUCUUUUUCAUUUUCAUUUUUCAAAAAUCAAUUAAAAAUAAAUUAACAAUUUUCAAACCAAAUUUAAGAGAAUUAAAGCCACUUUUGGUGUCUAACCCAAUUAAUAAAUAAAUAAAAAAAUGAAAUUAAAAAUAAUAAAAAUUUGGUGUCUACAGUUUGCCCCUCUUUGUCUGAGUUUUGAAAAAACUUGAGACAAAAAAGUAGACACCAAAUACUUACCUGUGUUAUUCGGCUGCGAAAUGAUUCGAAUGAACAGGAAUUCUAAAACGAGGACUGACCUCUUUAACAGAAAUUUGUUUUUUUUUUAAAUGAAAACUUUAAAAUGGGAUUGAUCCAGACGGGAAAUGUAAAAUGGGAUAGACCCACGGGAUAGACCCAGACAGAAAUUUAAAUGGGAUAGACCCACGGGAUAGACCCGGACAAAAAUUUAAAUGGGAUAGACCCACACAGAAAUUUAAAUGGGAUAGACCCAGACAGAAAUUUAAAUGGGAUAGACCCACGGGAUGUUGUGAAGUUGGCGGCACGAAAUCCAGGCCCAACGUGAUUUUUGGAAUGUUGGCGGCACGAAACCCAGGCCCAACUUGAUUUUUAGAAUGUUGGCGGCACGAAAUCCAGGCCCAACUUGAUAUUUGGAAUGUUGGCGGCACGAAAUUCAGGCCCAACUUGAUUUUUAGAAUGUUGGCGGCACGAAAUCCAGGCCCAACUUGAUAUUUGGAAUGUUGGCGGCACGAAAUCCAGGCCCAACUUGAUAUUUAGAAUGUUGGCGGCACGAAAUCCAGGCCCAACUUGAUAUUUGAACUGUUGCGGCACGAAACUCAGGCCCAACUUGACAUUUGAACUGUUGGCGGCACGAAACUCAGGCCCAACGUGAUUUUUAGAAUGUUGCGGCACGAAAUCCAGGCCCAACUUGAUAUUUGGAAUGUUGGCGGCACGAAAUUCAGGCCCAACUUGAUUUUAGAAUGUUGGCGGCACGAAAUCCAGGCCCAACUUGAUAUUUGGAAUGUUGGCGGCACGAAAUCCAGGCCCAACUUGAUAUUUGAACUGUUGGCGGCACGAAACUCAGGUCCAACUUGAUAUUUGAACUGUUGGCGGCACGAAACUCAGGCCCAACUUGAUAUUUGAACUGUUGGCGGCACGAAACUCAGGCCCAACUUGACAUUUGAACUGUUGGCGGCACGAAACUCAGGCCCAACGUGAUUUUUAGAAUGGUCAGUGGGAUAAGACCCAAUCCUGCCAUCCAAUUGGUGAAGAAAUUGAAUUUGAUUCGUCAAAAUACAAAAGAUUAAAUUUGAUUUUCCAAGAAACAAAAUUUUGAACUUGAUUUUUUGAUUUUUGAAUUUUUCUGAUUUUUCGAGAGAAUCUUUUUCACAAAUAAUUUGCCCCAGUGUAGGGCCCUUCUCCCUUCUUUCUCCUCUUUCUUCGGCAUCGGCCUUCCACAUCGCCAGAUGCUUUUCGUCGACUUCAACUGCGAAUACCUGCACAGGGCUUACGUGCACUCAAAUGAGCGUGACUGAUUUGAAAAAUGCAUUAGUUUGAUUCUUGGACGAAAUCCUCAAUUGGACUUACAAAAAUAUUUGCCCCUGUGUGGGCUUAUUUUGCGAAAUUUUGCAAAUAAAAAUUUUGCCCCAGUUUGGGCCCAUUUGAUUGCAAAAAUUGGUUUAGAUGAUUUCCCAUUUAUUUGAACAAAGAAAAACCGCACUUUUGCCCAUUUAGAAAAGAAUGCACAUAUACAACAAUGUGAAGAAACUUUAAUCGUCAAGUUUGAACUCAUGCAGAAAUUUCAUGAUGAAUUCCUCGAAAUAACACCAAAUUUAAGAAGAAGAUUUCUUCCUUACUUUUAGCAUUGGUGCUUAGGGUAAUGGGUCACCACUUCUGGUUGACUCAUCUUUUCAGGACCAAUCACAUGACUUUAUUUUUGAAAUGGCUAAGGAAAUGGGAGAUAAGAAUUUGUCUCAUUUUUGUGCCCCAGUUGUAUGUAAUCCAUUCAAUGUCACAUCUUAGUGAAAGCAAAGAGUUUGUUACCCUUAUUUUCAAGAAAACUUAGUCAACAUACAAGCUUUCUAGGCUUGUAACGUAUGGACAGAAGUGAUAGCUAAAACAUGUGGAAACGGGUUAUGCCCUUAUGAUCACAAAUGAUUGAUGGAUUUCGUACGAGCAUAAUCGUCACUUUGGAUUGUCAUGAAAGAAUAAGUCAACGAUGGACUUUAUUAGCUUGUAAUUUGGCUUGAAAACGAUAGCUAAAGAAGCAAUUUUCAAAGGACAUUGCACUGAAGAUCGCAUUUUUCAACAUCGCCCUCAUCUGGACUCCAGGUUCUUGGACUUGGUUUGACUUUUUAUCAUCACCCAACAGGGUCUUUCAACAUCAAAUCUUUUUGCAUCUUUCUUUGCAUUCAUUUUGCUCAUUUUUCCUUUUCUUUUUCCCCCUUCGCGGGGUUUCACAUGAAGAGCAGUGUCAACCUCACACCUAAUCAAUUCAGAAUACAGCAAAAACUUCCAGCAUCAGAAAUUUGCUUGACAGGGCUAUUGCAAAGAACAGAAGUCAGGACUUUCGGUUUUGUAAUGGGGUCAGGUGGGGUGCUUUAGAAAAGUUAAGGCUUGAAAACGGAUUUCAAAACUGGUUUGAAAAAUCUGAGAUCGCAUUGUUGCGCCAACCCUAUUUUAGGGUAAAAUCAGAAUUUGCCUCAGUUUUUGCUCAAUUGACGCUUUUUCUCUUUCAUUUUCUUUCUCUUUUUUUUUCGAUUUUUCGGCCUUCGGCCAUUCUUUUGAACUUUCACAAAAUUUGCCCCAGUUUAUUUUUGAACUGAGGUUCUCUUUUCUCUUUUGUCUUUGAUUUUGUGGCUUUUCACUUUUCACUUCUUGAAAUUUUCUUUUCAACUCAGACUCGCCCCCAGUGUGGGGUUUGCGAUUCUCAGGGUUCGCCAAACGAAGUAUUUUAUUCUGAAGGCUCAAAAGGGAUAACUAGAGAUAAAAUGUUCGAUUGGAAAAGAAGAUGGCCUGACUUGUAUUCCGUUCCUUACAAUAACUCUGAAAGGAAAUUUUCGCUAAUGCGAAAUUUUUUGCGUGUAUCUGAAUUAACUGACUGAGGAAGACCCUUGUUCGUCCAUAUUUGUGAAACGUAGGCGAUCCGUGCGGACAAAACUCUUCCCUUUCUUUCUUCUUCUUUUUUUCAAAACUGGACCCCAAGUGGAAUCUAAUUUCCCCAAUUUGCGGUUCCCUCCUUAUUCUAGCAUUUUUGCUUUUCUCUUUUUUCAAAAUUCCCCAAUCUCCUUCCCCAAUGUGGGGUGCGAUCAUAUGUGCAGUCGAAAAGAACCACCAAUUUUUGCUCAAAUGAGGAUGCAAGGGAUAAAUAGUGUUUGGAUUGUAGAAACGAUGGCCAAAGUAUCAUUCUUACACUUCAUGACAACCAAAGUAACGAAACGGUCAUUGAAAAUCCAUUCCCCUAUUUGAUAUUUGAAAAUUUUCCAAUAUAGGGUAGAGAUCAUUAAGGCCUUUAUUUGAAACGAAAUUAUUCUUUCAUAGGCUCAAAUGGGAGAGCAAGUGAUAAAAAUCUGUAUAGGUAGUGAAACGAAUGCUCAAAGUAUCAUUCCAAAUUUUCAAAACAAACAAGAAUAAUGCACAUUUUUGCUUUCACUUAGAUGUGAAUUGAAUCCGGUUAAACCAAUGGAUAUUUUCAAGCAAAGAUGGCCCCAAUUUGCGAUUUAUCAAUCAAUGUGACUGAUUUUAUUUUGAGGUUCAGUGAAGGAAAAAAGAUAUCUCAUUGGGCCUUCUGAAUGACCUCUUUUAAUUCUGAACACUCUUAUUGUGAAUUUUCAGGUCGGAGGUUGAAAAAAUCCCAAUUUAGUCUUAUUUCUUAAAAUUCAUCAUGAAAUCUCCAAUUAAUAAGAAUAAAGAAUGAAAUGUACAUAAAUAUACACAAAACAAUGAUUGUCCAAAAAGUUUAUUGCUGAAAAAGUUUGAAACAAAUUUUCUCAUUCAAUUACGAUACAAGUGAGAAGAGAGAAACUUGUAAAGAGCUCCACAUAUACACUUUUUGUCUCCUUUUCAAAUAUACAAAAUUUCCCUUUGGAAAACAAUUACAACAUCUCUCAGAGGGUUUUCAUCGUAGGAUCCGCCCAAGAAUCAAAUAACACUUGUACUCUUCAAACUUUAUUGGAUUAAAAUUAUCAUCAGAUAUAGAAGAAUAUUUUUGCCUUAUUGAAAUAUUUUUAUGAAUGCAGGGGAGGGGGGAAACAAAAGAAAAAUACCCCGAGUUAGUAGGCAAAACUGCAAAAUCGGUAUGCAUGUCCUAUGGGAGAACCCUUUUAUGCCAAGGGUAGGCCUAGCAUGAGGAUGCAGUCCUCUGAGGUAGGCACUAUACUAUACCUGAUGGAUCUGAUCAACUUAUUGAGUGAAGAAUAAUUUCGAAAAUUUUGGUCAAUUGGAGUGACGAGAGACAUUCGUCAAAAUGAGGUCAACGUUCGAAUGGAUUGAUCACUUUUGAUCGAUACAAGAUAUUGCAAAAACGCACGGGUUUGACCUUGACGAACUUCCUAUCAAAGUGAUUGGAAUUCGUUUGAUAAAAUUUCUCAGUGAAGCAUGAGUCAAAAACCCAACUGAUUAAAUAGUUGGAUAUAAUGGAUGGUUUUCUCAAAAUUGACUAGAUUUCCCAAUUUGGAAUUCGAUAUCGAAACCCUAAUUGGUCAAUUGACAAUUUAUUAAAAAUUGACCGGAUUACCCUAAAAAGGGAAACAGGUCAAAUGAAUUCAAAGAAAUUUAUCCAAAAUUAAUCAGAUCACCCUAAAAAGGGUAAAUUGAUCAAAUAGAUUGAACGAAACUUGAUUUAUUCAAAAUCGGCUCGGUUGCCCUAAAAAUGGGUAAAUUGGUCAAAUGAAUGAAAUUGAAUUUAGGGAUUUAUUCAAAAAUCGGCCGAAUGACCCUAAAAAGGGUAAAUUGGUCCAAAGACCCUAAAAAGAGUAAUUUGGUCAAUUGAAUUGAUAAUUUAUUCAAAAGCGACCGAAUGACCCUAAAAAGGGUAAAUUGGUCAAAAGACCCUAAAAGGGUAAAUUGGUCAAAUGAAUUGACGAUUUAUUCAAAAUCGACCGAAUGACCCUAAAAAGGGUAAAUUGGUCAAAUGAUUUGACGAUUUAUUCAAAAUCGACCGAAUGACCCUAAAAAGGGUAAAUUGGUCAAAUGAUUUGAUGAAUGAAUUUAUUCAAAAAUGAUUAGAUUGAACUAAAAUUGAAUGAAUUGAAAAAAAGUGGAUUGGACAAGAUGGAUGAUUUGUUCAAAAAUCGAUUGAAUUAUUCGCCCACUGGGUGGUUUCAAAAAAUCAUUACAAUGCCUUGGUCUAUGAGCCUCUAAAAUCAAAAUUUGGCCUCUAUAUUUAUCGUCUCAACAAUGAGGAAUCAUUUGUGAAUUUUCUUGGAAUUAAUGUCCUUUUAUGCAAGGGGAUUUUACCAAUUUUGAGAAAAUGGCCAAAAGAUGAUUAUUAGAUGCUCAUAUUCCAAAGAUCACUCUAUGAAAAUGAUCGGAUCCUACCUUACCUUGUGCACUACCCCUUCGGACGGUACGAGAAAGGUAAACGUGCAAGUCUCAUUUGGAUUAUAUAUCCGAGACAUGGGGUGGUUUAUUCCUAACACGGGAUCCCCUAAAUGGCAUUCCCUUUCUAGGGUUUAUGCAUGAUGCCAGUUUAUUAAAGCUAUGUAAAUAUGUGACAAACAUGAAAUGUGAGCUAAAGGACAUAAAUAAUGCAACGGGGGGAAAAGGUCUAAACAUGAAAUGUAUUCACUGAAAAGUAAGUGCAAAGACUGAAAUUUAGACAUGUGAGCUAUCUAGUGGGUGAGUCACUAAAAGAGUGCCAAAGAGGCCCCUUAUUGCUAAGGCACAUGAAUGCAAUCCAAGAAAACAAAAGAAUGGUUAGUGCAAUUGAUAGUACACAUAACACAUUGGGAGCAAUUAAGAAAAAGAAAUACAAUAAAGCGAGUAAAAAGGGUAGAACCCCCUCCCUCGUGCCUAAUGUGCUUAAGAAAAGGUGAGGCCGACUCUACCCUAGGUUAUUCUAAUAUGGAUGCAUGCGGUUUGGUUCACUAAUGCCUAGACUCGAUAAAGCUUCGGCUCCCAAGCCUUCAGACCUAAAGGCGAAGGGUCAUCACUCCCAGGGCCUUCGGUCGGUGGCUCGAGUGAUCCCUUAGGUAGCGCUAUGGGCGCAGAGCACACCAUCCGCCUACCCAAGGCAAUCGAUCCUAAUCCUACAAGGCGGUGUGGGAUGGCGCCCACGAAAAUAAAAUAAAAUGGGAUAAAGCAAGUAAACAUGCACGUAUGAAGUGUUCCCCUAUUUUGAGGGAAGGGGUUGAGAACCACGCGAGGCUCUAAAGGUGACACACCCCCUCCCAAAUGCAAUGCAAGCGCGAGAUAAAGUAAACAACAACAUCCAAUCAUCACACGUAUGAGAGAAGGGAAAUUUUGAUACGCGCGCGAUGCAAAAGUCCUAAAAACAAAAAAUGCAACCCUAAUAUCCAAAUGCAAUGCAUAAAAAGGGUAGAAAAAGGAAACGAAUGGCUAAGUCAAAUGCUCGGACCCACUUAGGAAGUCCCCAGUGGAGUCGCCAACUGUCGCGCCCCACUUUUCGAUUGAGUGAAUGUGAGUGAUGAAGUGUGGUGUGAAUGUGUGCAAAAUGAAAAGUAAAAGGCCAUGGGACUUUGGAAAGCGACGAUUUGGCCAAAUGAAAUUUUAAAAAGGGUUUUUUAAAUAUGAAAACGGAGUCGCCACUUGGUAUAGAUUUGGGGUGUACCAAGUCACCCAAAAAGUGUUUUUUAAAGACAAAGUAGUAAAACCCUUUUUAAAACGACUCCUAGUCCACGUAAGCCAAAGAAAAAGGUUCGGGGGUCACGUUUGACAAAGGGGAAGGCAAGGAUAGAAUCCAAGGCACCCCUUUGACCUAGCCAAGGCUAGUUGCGCGACUUAACCAAUUUUUUCUAAUUUUUCUACCCAAGGUAUGUAUCGCGUAUUGGAUAUGUCUAUAUGAAUGCAAAAACCUAGACCUAGGGGGAUUGGGGGAAAUUUCUCUUCAAAGGUUGAGUGGUGCCAAUCACAUUAAUUGUGAAGCCCAAUAAUGAUCCUUUUGGAGAGGUCACACCUAAACCUAAAUGACGUGAAAAAUGAGUGGAAUGCAUGCCAUGUGAAAGUGUGAGUUUGUGUGAAGCGAGAAAAAUGAUAAAAGUAAUAAGAUAAGAGUGCAAAUGUAGAUGAAAGUACUCGUGUGCGAGUGAAGAUAAAAUGCUCGUGUGCAAGUGAAAAUAAAAGGGUUCGUGUGCAAGUGGGGACAAAAAAGUGUUCGUGUGCAAGUGGGGACAAAAAAGUGCAUGUGUGCAAAUGAGACAAAAGUGAAAGUGUAAUGAUAGAGUGGAUUGAGAAUGCAUGAGCCUAGGGAAUUCAUGCAUAUUGGGUACGGGGAGACCUAAAUCGUGACUCAAUUUGCCCUUUGAUAGAGGGAAUACAAGCGUGCUAAGGCUUAGAAAAAGCCACACUCGUCUAUAUCCCAUAUUUAAGGGGACUCUUCAGGCAAAUGUACCCUAACUAGCAUGAGAUGCAAGACCUAAAGUGAGGGGACAGGGGAAUCGAGGAGCAUGCCAGAUGAUAAAAGUAAGGAAAAAUGCAUGAUAUGUAGUGAACAGGCGAAUAAUGCAUUAAUGAAAAACAAAGGAAAAAUCCUAUUGGGUCUAGCGUUGGACUAGCCCUUUCUAUGAAUUCCUAAUGAAAUAAUGAGCCACAACUAGCAUUGGACUAGUGUGGUGACGUACAUUCAUCCAUCACAUUCAUUCAUGCUAUAGAAAGCGAGUAGACAUGCCAAACACUUAUAAACACAUAGCACAUAACAAUUAGCAUGCUCGACUAGAUGCAAGGCCCUAACAAAGCAAAUUAACACGUAGUAACAAUUAGCAUGCAAGACACAUAAGACAAUUAAAGCCCUAACUAUUACAUUUGCUAGCUAGGCACAUGACUUCGAUAGGUCUUCAUUGAAUGCUCCUCCAAGCCCUAUCUAUUACAUUAGGGAGACCCUACUACAAUCUAAAAGGGGGAAGAGGAAUAAAAUAAUUAAAUCCCUAACUAUUACAAGCCAAGAGGUGUACACAUACCCCAAAAUGAAUAACUUAAAUAAAAAGCAAAAGUAAAUAAAAUAAGUGAAAGAAUUAAAGAAAAGCAAAGAAAGCAAAGUAGACAUGCAUAUUCACAUAACACGUAGGAGCACGUAAGAAAAAUAAACUCAAGAAUAUAGACGUUACCUCCCUUGCAAUGGAAAUCGAGUAAAUGAGAUAUUAGCUUCAAAACAAUACAAAGGUCAAGGUACCAAUUUAUUUGGCAAAUAAUCACAAAGGAUAAAAAAUAAGCAUGAAUUUGAAUCAAUUAAAUCAUGUCAACAAUUCACAUUUAAGAAGUCAAGAGAAGAAGGGACUUAAUUGCAAAAAUGAACAAAGUUUUGGGGUCAAAAAUUAAAGAAAAAUAAAGCUCAAGGACUUAUUUGCAAUUAAAGUAAGGACCCAAUUGAAUGAAAUUGAAAGUUUUUGGGGCCAUAGUGAAAACACUCGAACGUCAGGGGACUGGAAUGAAAUUUCGUUAUCAGGCUUCUUGGCAUAACAGGCCAUUGGGCCAUUUGUAUUUAUUUCGUGGGCCAAGGCCUUCCUAGCCCAACCGAAAACCCUAAGAGCACAAGCAGGCCAGCCUAUCUUCAAGUCCGAACAAAAUUCAACUAAAACAGACGGGCUUCAUUUCUCAAGCCCAUGUCACAACCCAGAAAAAACAAGUCAUCAAUCCACUUAUCAAACCCAAACAAAUUAUGAUUACCCACAACCCAAAUCAUAAUACCAAACCUAACAAGAUUAGCAAAUCAACUAAAAUUAUUAUGCCAUAAUUAUAAUCCAAAUCUAAGAAUUAAUCUAUCCAACAAAUCGCAUAAAAUAUGCAAACAGAGGAAUAAGCUUAAAGGGCAAAAUUAGGUCGAUUUUCCAGAUUUUGGGUCAUAGUGAAAUUAGACAGGAAUUGAGGGGCUACACUGAAAUUUACAGAGAUUCAUACUUCAUGCUUCGCAGAAUCCUUCUUCUGCGAUGCAAACUUUCAAUGGAAAAGUUUCUGCAACUUCUGAUGUUUCAAAACACCCGACAAGUUUACACGGCAACAACAUCACAUCGUUAUGGAAUGCAAAAACAGCAAAAUUAAACAAAAUCAAUUUCAAAAGUUCAUGGCCUCUCUCCCUGCGCCAACUGAUGAAAAUGCACAGAUUCUGGCCAGUUUCGGACUGGCCAGAUUUCAUCCUGAACUCAUGCAGAAAAAGGAAUAAAAAUCUUCUCCUUUUUGGUUCAAAAUUUUACUCAGUCAUUUUAUCAAACAACUAACGGUCAUUGGAAAGUUCAACAACUCUCUGCCUAAUUUACACUACAACCGGCCCCAAAAUUUAUCAGCAACCAAAACAUUCAAUCCAAUUCACGUAUGCAGCAUGUGUGUUCAACCAAAUGAGGUCAAUUAACAGGAAAAUUGCACCCAAAUGAAACCACAGAAAACCCAUGUCAAAAACUAGGCAGGCACUGAAAAUUCUUUGGAGAGAAAGAAACUUACAGUGUUCUUGUUCCGGUGAAAUUUUCACAGAUGGUGAUGGUAGAUUCGAUGAGGUUAUGGCAGCUCGGUGAAUUGGAAACCUCUGUUGCCGUUGCUGCUCAAAUCAUCCAUGGAAGAGGAGCAGAUGGAGAAGCAGUUGACGAGAGGCUCUGGUCGCGGCCUUUCCCUCUUACUUCUGCCCGAAGCUCUUCUGAAUGGCCUCGGCUUCUACCUUCACGGCUGCGGUGGUUUCGAUGAAGGUUGCGCGCGGUGAGGCAACGGCAGAUGGCGUGAGGAAGAGAGGAGAUUUGGGGUGGGCGGCAGUGCGCGAAAGAAAAACAAGGGGAGAAAACAGGGGCGGCCUCUGCUUCUCGUUUCUUUUUCCAGAAAAUUCUUCCCCUGCCCGAGCUCUUCUUCCACCUUGAUCAACCUUUGUCCGCCGCUCUUUCCUUGCUCUUUCCUUUCGUACCUCUUCUCAAUUUCCAUUUUUUCCCUCUGUUUUUCCUCUCAAGGCCGAAGCCCCCUGCUUAGCUCUCCAGAUUUUCAUCGUCCCCUCCCCUCUGUUUUUCCUCUCAAGCUCUGUUCUUUUUCCUUUUUCUUUUUGUUUUUUUUUGCCUGUCCGAAGCCUUUUCUUUUUUUCCUCCUUUGUGUUUCUGCUAUUCUUUUUUUCCGUUCCGCCCCGUAGCUUGUUUUUUCUUUGUUUCUUUUUUUCCACAAAUUCCCUAAGCCCAACAAGUGUCCUUGACACCUACCUCUCUAUACACUUGUCCUACAAUUCCUUAGACACUUGUCUAAUGAUUAUUUUGUACACUUGUCCAACAUGCACACUUCCACCUAUCCACACAUUUUUCUUUCUUUUUCAUUUUCAUUUUUCAAAAAUCAAUUAAAAAUAAAUUAACAAUUUUCAAACCAAAUUUAAGAGAAUUAAAGCCACUUUUGGUGUCUAACCCAAUUAAUAAAUAAAUAAAAAAAAUGAAAUUAAAAAUAAUAAAAAUUUGGUGUCUACACUUGGUCUAGGCAAAUGUACUAAACCAAUAUAAGCACAAUGUAUGGAAGUAAAACCCAAAAACUUUUACAAACAUAUAUAUACAUUCCAAACAAGGCAAACAACACACAUAUCAACAACCAGUCAAGUCAAGUACAAACAUGGACAAUCCACGAGAGAAUGGCCUCAUCAAAAGAAAUAUACACGUAGCUAAUCCAAACGUACAAAACGAUUAGCUAAGACUCUUUUCCCUAUCCGCCCUAUAUACAAAAAACAAAACUAUCCCAAAACUCUAGGAGUCGUGACCUAGUCUGACGACGAGCUAGAAGACCCACCCGACGAGGUGGAUCCAACCCCAGCCUCGGGUCCCGUACACGAGUCCUCGUCACUCACGCCCUCGACCACGUCCGCGCAGAGGUUCAGGAUCGAUGCGGCUCGAACCUUCACCUUUCGGGCUCUCUUAGACUCGCGCUCACGCGUCUCCCUCAGCUGAGUACAGAGAUCAUCAACCCUAUCCUCUACCUCUAGCACGUCGUACUCCAGACCCUUAAUACGCUCAGCCUGUUUCUCAUUGGCCGCCCUAAACUGGUUCACCUCGGCCUCAAGCCUAGCAUUAUCUGCGGCCAACUCCUUACGCUCCUCGGCCACGGCCCACACUAAGGCGUUAGGGUAAGCGUACUUGUGUCGACACUCGCAACGUCGGAGGCGGUUAGCCGGGCUCCAACGCACAACAGCCCCUCUGGGCCGGAUCUAGUACGGGAUCACUGGGAGCGCUCCACGGGGUAGCUCUCUAGCAGGGGGACUACUAGGCUCACCAUGACCGUCCAUCCUACACCAAAAGAAGAAAUAAGUAUAAUAAUCUUAAAGGACGUAACCAAAAUAAUCCUCAAAUCGAGCAUUUCUAUUACACCCAGGCUAAUUCAAACCUAGGCUCUGAUACCACCUGUGACAGCCCCACCUUCCCCUAAGGCGAACCAAAGGGGUUAGCGGACUGCCUGCCCAACUCUCGCCAGGACUAACGGUUCAGUUCAGAGCGAUCUAACACGUUCCGGAACUUACAAACGCGAGUAAACAAGUCAAAAUCCCAAAAUAAAAAAAAAAUGAAAUCGGAGCCGGUCAUGAAUAGUAACCAACCCGUCAGAACCCAACCAAAUAUCAAGCAAACAUUCACAUCUUGAAAUUUAGCAUUUACAAUCCAAAGUGGCAUACAAAAGUAUUCAAAAGUGGAUACAUGUAUGGUUUGCCAAAUCAAAAGAGAAACGGACCCAAAAGUACAUUUAGGGUUUCAAUCUAGGAGUUAUACAAAAGAUAUGUCCAUCUAGCUCAAUUCGGCAACCAACUAUCAAUUGCAGUCCAAAAGUAUUUAUUUUCCUGUAAGGAAAACAAAAGGAAUAGGGUGAGCUUACGCCCAGUGAGAUAAUACCACUCAAGCAGCAAAGUUCACAUAAGCAUAAAGCUUUUCAUUCCAAUUGAUCAAAAGUAAGCAAAGGCACACAUCAAAAGUGGUGAUAAAAGGAUACGGGCGGCUCUCAAGAGCCCUUUUCCUCGUUUGCAUUCUUGAUCGAACCUUAUUGACUCUCCGUCAAUGUUUUAAAGUAACCAACCGUAGACUCCACUUUACUUCCAUUCCUUCCACCCAACAUACCCCUACCGGGCCCGAACUCCAAACACUUGCAAUGUGGUAUUACUCGAGUAUACCGGAAUCGAGAGUCUCUCAUACUACAAGAUUCCAUAUAACAGUCCCCAAGGUUCAUUAAUUGGCACGACCAAGCCCUCGCCGGCUCGAUUCAAUCAACUACCAAUGGGGUUGAGCUCAAUGGUAACAAUCAUGGUCGUUGGAUACUCGUCCAAACGACACCAAGUCAAGUACUUUCAUUUCAUGUAACAUUCCAAUAACAUGAUAAACAUUCAACGCAUCAAGUUCAAGUAUCAAAGCCAUACAGUAACACACAAGUGAGUAGUACACUCACCAAGCUUGAAAAUGAUAUUUCAUACACCUCCGUCAAAGGAGCGUCGUGAACCACCGUCACGCCCUAAAACAUGCAAACAAGUACAAUGAGACUCGAUAACGAGUCAUAAACUAAUGUCAAAUACUACCAAAAUAGGGUUCCAUAAGCAUACUGUAACAGCCCCACUUUCCCCUAAGGCGAACCAAAGGGGUGAGCGGACUGCCUGCCCAACUCUCGCCAGGACUCACGAUGCAGACUAGAACUAUCUAUAGCGAUCCGGAACUUACGAACGAGCAUAAACGAGUCAACAUGGUAAAAUAACCCAAAAUUUAAAAAAAUGAAAUCCGAAGUCGGCCAUGAAUAGUGACCGACCCGUCAGAACCCAACCGAAAUAGCCAACAACAUUCACAUCUGAACUUUAGCGUUUACAAAUCAAAAUGACAUACAAAAGUUUUCAAAAGUUAAUAUAUACACACGGUUUGCCAAAUCAAAAGAGAAAACGCCCCAAAAGUACACUUAGGGUUUUAAUACAUGAGCUAUACAAAAGAUAUGUUCAACUAGCUCAAUUUGGCAGCCAUUUGUCAAAUCCAGACCAAAAGGGUUUAUUUUCCUGUAAGGAAAACAAAAGGAACGGAAAGGGGUGAGCUUGCGCUCAAUGAGGUACCAAACAGAUAGCAUUAAAAUCAUGGCAUUUCACAUUUAACAAAUCAGAUACACAUGUCAGAUGUAAAGCAAAGGAACCAAUGAUUCAAAUCAGAAGGAUACGGGUGGCUCUCAGGAGCCAAAUUUCCAGCGCAAUACUUGAUCCAAACCGGUUGACUCUCCGUCAACGUAUAUAGAACCAAUGCGUCCGUAGACCCCUCUUAUCACCGAAUUCCGUCCACCAAACACCCCUUUACCGGGCCCGCUCACCUCAAACGAACAAAAUGGUAAUACUCGAGUAUACCCGGAAUCAAGGGUCUCAAUACCCAAAAUCUCCGAACAGACUACCGUGGUUCGUUAUCUAAUCGUCCAGACCCUUGCCGGCCCGACUCGAAUAACUUAGCCACAGGAUUGAGCUCAUAGGUCAUAGAAAUCCGAACAGAUGCAGACACAGAUAACAGAUUCAAAUUUUGCAUAGUAAAUUGGCAUAUGAACAGACUAGAGAACGAGUGUGAUAAAGUACACCCUCGUCUCGAACAAAUAAACAGAUUGCAUAGCAGAAAUCAAGUUAAACAGCAAUGGAGGGGAGUGGUACACUCACCGGCUCAACUUCAAAAGUUUUUACUUCAGAUUGGCCUUAAUCGCCAAGAAACCCUAAAAUAAUCAAAAUAAACCAAUUGAAGGUUUCAUAUCCAAAAUCGAGUAAACGGAAUGCAUAAGUGAGGCUCGACUACACGUCGUACGCCUUGCCCAAAAAUACUAAUGCAAGGGUGCAAAAACAUGAUUUUCUUGGAAACAAAAGAUAACAUGAAGACCUAGGGUCAACAACCCAAAAGCCCUUCAUUUCCAUCAAAAGGCAAAUCCAACUUAAAGAACCAAACGGCCUAGAAAAUCGGACAGCAUUUCCCCUCAAUUUCUUACUUUUCCAGCCAUUAAGGCUUCAUGAUUUCCUCAAAUCAGUCCCAAAACCUCACACAAAAGUCAUCUCAUUUCCCAAAAGCCGUUCACUAGGCUCAAAGCAAUACAAGUACAAAAGUUAGCUAGGAAAUGACCGGAAUAAGAGUAAGCCUUAAAACAUGCAAACAAGUACAAUGAGACUCGAUAACGAAUCAUAAAGCCAUGCCAAUCACAACCCCAAUAGGGUUUCAUAUACAUAAAUAAGCAUAAUAGCAAACCAGAAAAUCAGAAAAUAUAACUCAUUUGAUCAAUCAACAAAAACAGGUUUGGCCUCCGUAUGCGGUAAUGGCACAAAAUGCGCUACGCUUAUCGGAUGAGGGCGUAAGACCCACCAUCUCGAAGCUAAAAGACAGGGCUACAACAAUGUAGAAGGCCUCUCAGUCCAAAUCCUAGCACAACUAGGUAAAAUGUGCCAAAUACUAAACCAGAAUUACCAAAACAGGUUUGCAAAACACACAAAACUGUAAUGAACACAACUCAGUCUAUACAAGUCCAAAUGCCGAAAUUCCAAAGGCAUAAGCUAGCUAAGACAUCCAGCUACAUUUCAUCAGAAGACACCAACUUCAAAAUCCAAACCAAUGCCAGUCAAAAUAGACAAUUACUAUCGCAGUUCGUACAUUCUGUUCACCCAGAACAGCAACAGUAAAAACGGCAUAACUCACUCUACACUACUCCAAAUGCCCUGAAAUUUUGCAGGCACUUCAAACUCAUCAAUACCUACAAAUUUCAUGUUUUGAGCAAAGUCCAAUUCGGCCUCUAUCUAUGACCUAAAAUUUCGGACAGAAUGUUCAACCAAGAACCCUAAUUUUCCAGAAAUUCUUCCAAAUUCAAAAUUGAUUGCAAUUUCCUAUCAUAUGCACCUACUAGAGCUAAAGCCCCUUAUUACCAACCAUCAAAAACAACCACACCAUCAAGAUCAUAUGAAACCAGAAAAUUCAUCAUAAAAUUGAAAACUCCACCAAAACACUUCAAAUCAAGAAACAAGUCACAUAAUCCAUCACUUUAGGUCCCAUUAAGCACCAUAUAAGCAUCAAUAAGUGUAGUAGAAUGUUUAAUCAUCACUUACCUAAGAAAUAAGAGAAUAGGAGUUGUAGACCACCCUAGCUCUUCAAGAAAACUUCACCAAACAACCUCUAUCACCAACUAGAAAGAUUUUUAUGGAGUAGAAAUGGAUGUAAGCAAAUGUUUUUGGGUGAUUUGCACCAAGUAGUAGCUAGAACUUGAAGAGUUUCUUCUUCCUUCCUUGCACAAGAGGUUCGGCCAACAAGAGGUAAGAAAUGGUAAUUUUUGUGCAUUUUUGAGAUAUUUAACCAAUUUUUGGUCAAAAGUCAAAAUAGUGAAUAGUAACUCUUAAGUCAAAACCAAUGUAGUGGUGACACUUGUCACCUACAUUAAUGAAAUCUUAUCUUUCUUUUUCCUCUCACAUCAAUCAAUCUCACUCUCUACUUAUCUCGUAACACCCGAUAAAUUUUACACAGUAUCCGAAACUUAACCUUAUUGGCCGAAUUUUUCCGAACUUUUCGUACUAGCGGGUCCCACGUCCAAUAUAUAUUCUUAAUUUUCUAAAAACUCUCCAAUACGAGAAAAAUUAUCUAAAAACUAUAAUUGCUCAUAAAAUUUAUCUAGAAAAUUUUCCGGAUACAGAAAGUGCAUAAAACAAGCCAUGAAAAAUGAGAAAACCUAGAAAAUGUAAAUUACGGGUUCUCACACAUACAUAAGCAUGAGAGGAAACCAGAAAAAUCCGGAAAUGGAGUUAAGUGUUAACCCAAAAAAACAGUUUUUGACACCAUUUUGCGGUUUUGGUACCAAUGGCACUACGAUUAUCGGAUGGAGGUGCAAGAUAUACUGUUUCGAAGCUAAGAGAUAGGGAUACAAUGUUCCAGAAGGUCACUCAGCUCAGUUUCGAGUGCAACCAGGUCAAAAAUGCAAUCUACUACACCAGAACUGCAAAAAUAGGUUCACAAAUCGCAUUCUGGUGCAAACAUCAUAAAUCAGGCUACCUAAGUCCAAAUCCAGUAAUUCUAAAGUCAUCCGAAAGAUAAGAUACAAGGCUACAUUUCAUCAGAAGACCUCAACAACCAAUUCUGAAGCAUUCCCAACCAAAUUAACCAAUUACAGACGCAACUAUCAAAUUCGGGUAAAACCAGGGCAGCAAGGGUAAUUCCAUCUUUUCUCAAGUUAGGCUACUCCGAUUGAUCUGAAAUUUUACAGACAUCUCUAAAAUAUCAUUCUCUACAACUCUCAUGUUUUAACCCAAAGCCAAUUCAGCCUCUAACUAUGAGCUACAGUGCCAGGCAGAAUGAAGAACAAUGAAACCCUAACUUUUCAAGUUUCUUUCCAAAACAGAAAUUGCUUGCAAUUAACCACUUUUUCCACUUUCUAGCUUCCUUAAAUAUCAUUUCCAAUCAUCAUACAUGACCACAUAAUCAUAUUCAUAUGAAAACAGAAAAAUCCCCAAUAAUUAUAAAACUUCACCAAUUCAACCAAAAAUCAAGAUAUAAUCCAUAAAAUUGCAUCUUAUACCACCACCAAUCAUGAAUUAAACAUCAUUAGAGGGAGGAGAGAGGUCCUUCACUACUCACCUUAGUAAUACAAGAGAGAGAGCAAUUAGACACCUUAGCUUUCCAAACAACUUCACCAAUCACCUCACCAACCCUAAGUGAAGAUGUUUUAUGGAACAAAAGUAAGUUUAAGUGGUUGUUUUGAUGGAUUUGAGCUAAAUGGAAGCAAGAACUUGGAGAGUUUUCUUUCUUUCUUUCUUGAAGUUGGCCGGCCAAGGAGAAGAAGAAAAUGGUGAAAUUUUGGUAAUUUUUGUGAUUUAUUUGGUCAAAUGGAGAAAGGUGAAUAGUGGUCAUCAAGUCCAACCACUCUCUAAGUGACACUUGUCACUAUAAUUAAUGCAUCUCUAUCACUUUGUUUCCUCUCUCACCAAUCCAAAUAGCAACCUCUAAUUAUCUCUUAGCACCCGAUAAUUUAAACCCAGUAUCCAAAACUUAACCUAGUUGGCCGAAUUUUUCCGAACUUCCUACACUAGCGGGUCCCACGUCCGAUAUAUACUCUUAAUUUCUCAAAAACUAUUCGAUACUAGAAAAAUCAUCUAAAAACUAUAUCUGCUCCUUAAAAGUAUCUAGAAAUUUUCCUAAUCACGAAAAUACAGAAAACAAGCCAUUGAAUAUAAUAAAACCUAGGAAAUAGAAUAAUUACGGGUUCUCACAUGGUCAACGUCGGAAAUGGAAAUUAAAGAAACGGCAAGUGACAAGAAACUUUGACACAAAUUAUAAAGGAACCACAUCUUAAAAGAGGCAAUUACACGACGCAAAUCAAUAGUUGGUAAGAGGGUUGGCGAACCGGAUAGUUACACGGUUGACGGCUCUGUGGACCGUAUCUUAGACAUUUGAAAGCCAAUUAAAAGAGACUAAGGGGCAUUUCUCAGUUGUUUUGACUUUAGCAAAAAGUUGUUUCAUCAGAAAUAGCAAAUAUAUAUAUAUAUAUAUAUAUAUAUACCUGGGCAGCUCCUCUGAAUUCAAGUUUCCCAAAUUGAGUUGUAUUUUAAUUUAUAUUUGCAUUAGUUGCACUGUAAAUGAGUUACCAUAGUAACUUACAAUCGGACCGGAUUCCACCGGCAACUGCGGAGAAUAUUUAAUGACCAAGAGAAAUUGGGUUGAACUCGAUCAUUGGCUUGAAAUUCAAAUCAACAGUCAACUGCCGAUCGUUGGUACACUCGGGAGGAGCUAUAAUGGUUUUGCCAAGAAUUGAAAGAACUGAAGGCACAAGGAGCUAUGGGGCUGUCGCUUAUUCACCAAGGGUAAAAGUGCCGCGACCAGAUGCUUAUAGUGGAGCAUGGAAGGCACGUAAAGAACAUCGUCUAUGAGUUGAAACGAUAUUCCGAUGCGCUUGACAUCGUGAUCGUGGGUGAUGCAACCAAAUUGCGCACAAACCCCCACUCGGCGAUUGCACUUGCUACCACAUCCGCCACAGACUCCUUAUAUUCGUGUCACAGUUGGAAAAUGAAAAUGUCAAUUAAUUCGAUGUAUUUCGCCCAACAUUUGAAGAUUUCCAUAUUUUUUUGAUAAUGUGGAACUCUUUAUAUAUAUUUUUUUUUUAUCACAACGAUAAUAUUUAUAUAAUUUACUCUAGCCUAAUUUAAAAAGGAAAAAGAGCCGACAAAAAACUCCGUCAGAAAAAUCCACUUGAAAGUGACAACUAAAAUUAGGUAGCAACGUAGGCAAGGGUUAAACCCUGGUCUUCCAUCUUCACCAGGACUUAAAUGUCUUGAUGGUACCAACAGCCUGAGAGGCCUCUUGGGCUGUUGGCCUGGAGCUCUUUAUAUAGUUUCCCGUAAGAAGGUCUACGAGGUACACCCAUUAAUCAGUUAAGUUGAUAAAUACACUCAUUUGGAUAAGAAGGUCUACGAGGUACAGAUGUCCCACCCCUAGCUGCAUUAAAAUAGAUGAAAUCUACACAGACCCACAUAUAUGGCUCCUUCUUGGUUGUAAUUGACAAGCAACCAAGUUGAUUACGCUGUAUCCAGCAUUACUCUAUUGUUCUGGUCCUUUUAUUACAGAAAUUUAUAUAGGCAAAUAUGCUUGGUUGCUUGUCUAUCCUGGAAGAGGAAUCCGAAUUGACUCUUUUUGUCGUCUUGUCAAUUUUGUAAGCAAUUCUAUCAACAUGGUUACUUUCUUUAUGAUAAUCCGUGGUGAAAAUUUUAAUAUAUCCAUUUUUUUGUCAAUUAGUAAUUUCUACAGUGCUCUUAUGUUAAUCUAUCAUAUUAAGAGAGUCUAAUUGGGCCAAGAGGAGUUAGAUGAGAGAGAUACAUCCGGAUUAGAGGGCCGCAAUACUACACAACCUUUAUAUUUAACUCUAGUGCAAGAAUUCGAACCCUUAUUUUACAAUUUACAACUAGGAGUGUAACUUAUGUGAUCUCGUAAGGCAAUUUAAUUUAAUUAUAACCAACUAAUAAACCAAGUAGUUGGACACACAUAUUAGUGACAACGAUGAAAUGUCAUGCCAUCAUUCUUUUGUAUCCCUUCAUGACCAGGCACCAACCCCAUAAUAAAAAGGCAUCCGAAGCCAUAAUAAUCAACUUGUACUUUUGGCACACAAAAUAUUAUUUUACUUUUAUUAAAAAUACACUUUUUAAUUAUUCUUUUUUAUCUUUUUAAUCUCAUUUUAUUUUACAUGUAUCACGUUAUAAAAAGUGUUAUAAUAAUUAUUUUUAAAUAAUCACACACACAUAAUAAAACAAUGUUCAAUUUUGAUUUUGAUAGAUUGUUGAAUUGGUUGCUCUAAUUUUUCUGCCAAAUAAACUAUCUAUCUUUUUGCCACAUGGACGUCUUUCAUGUUUUUUUUAAAUUUUUUAAUUUUUUUUCUGUUUUUUAGUAACAAUUAAUUCCCUUACUUUUUUACUUCCUUAUUUAUAAUAUGGUUUCUUAUUUAUAGUCAAUUUCAAAAAAUCUAUUAAUAACCUACCUUAUAUAAGUUUGUAUUAAUUGUACUUUCUUUAUUUUUUUUGUCAAUCAAUUCAUAUCUUUUAUUUUCUAAUCAUCUUCAUUUACGUCUUUAUUUCUAAUAUUGGUUUGAUUUUUAUUGCUAUUACUAAAAUUUGGACAAAUGUAGCAUAUAAUGUUCACAUUGACAGUUUUUUCCUGCACUUUCAUCUGUAGAAGAUUCUUAUAUAUUCGCUAUUCACUUUCUUUUUUGGUAAUUUGCUGAGUUUGUUGUAUUUUGUCAAAAAUACAAUUUUAUCUUUUUGAAAUGUGAAAAAAGAAAGAUUGUAUCUACUUAUAUUUCUUGGUGGAUUUUAUUCUUUAUCUAUUUUUUAUAACAAUAAUUUAUAGUCCUUUUUACUCUCUUAUUUAUAGUAAAUUUCAAAAAAUUUAUUAAUUUCCUGCUUUAUAUACAGUUUUAUAAUUUAUGCUUUAAUUUAUUUUUUUGUCCAUGGUUCUCCUAUUUUAAUUCUCUACAAUCACAUUCUCUUUUCCUAUUAUUGGAUUGAUAAUUUAUUACCAUUACUAAAAUUUGGAAAAACUUUCAUUUUUUCCUUGUUAUUCUAUACUUCUUUAAUUGUAGUAAAUUUCAAUCUAUUAAUUCCCUAUUUUAUAUACAUUUAUAUUGAAUAUAUAUAUAUAUAUAUAUAUAUAUAUAUAUCUUUCUUGAUUUUUUUUAUCAAUCGACGCAUUAUUUUCUUUUCUUAAUUUUCUUCAAUUACUUUCACAUUAUUAUACUUAGUUAUUUAUUUGUAAUUCUAAAGUUUUGAUAAUUUUGAUUUUUAUUAAUGAAUCUAUAUUACACAAUUUUAGCAUAUUACUCAUACAAUUCCAUUUUAAUUAAAAAAUCUAUUUAAUUUGUAUAAAUAGUCAUUCUUUCCUAAAAUAUUCUUUUUAUUUUUAUAAUCUCUCCAUUCAAAUUCGAUUUAGGCCAAAGUAGUGUUCAUAUAAACACGAGGUUGUAAAAGUUCUUCCAAAUUACUUGUUUGCUUUUAAAAUUCCUUUUAGUUGUGAAAGAAUCAAAUAUUUAAUUGCACUUAUUUCCUAAUAUAUCUCCUUCAUUCAUAUGUUGAUUUGCCACCAUUAAUUAGAGUAAACAUAAUUGAAUUAUGGGAUAAGAUUCAAUUGAAACUAAUUAUUAAGUUUUUAUAAAUUAACAAAUUCUAAUAUGUUUAAUUUUAAUGUUUGUCUUACAAUUAGUAUAUUAAAUUUUUAAAAUAGCAUUUUAAAUUCUUUUUUAACAAUUUUUUUGAAAAAUAAAAAUUAUAGAACAUAAAAAAAGUGCCUAUACAAAUACACAGAAAAGAAACUAGUAUUUUAGAUAAUCUCCUAUUCUGGAAGCUUUCAUCUUAAGUAGCUUUUUGUCUCCAUUUUUUUUAUUGGUCAAGGAAUUUGUUGUUGUGAAGUCACGAAGAGGGAAAACAAAAGUGAUAUGGUUAGUUUGAAAAAGAAACUAACUAAUAGUAAAGGUAGCUUCGGUAGUUUUUUUUUUUUAAUCACAAACAGCUUUUGCACUUAAUUUUUUUUUUAAACAAUCCAAAACUAUUUUUUUACAUUACAAAUAUCAUAUUUGAAAUAUGCAUCACAAAAAAGUAUUACAAUGUUGUUCUAAAAGUUUUUAAGAUAAUCCUCUAUCAAGUACUAUAACAUUAUGAAUCUUCGACCUGACUUCUUAUCCCCUCACGCAGGAUCCGUUGUGCUUUUAGCUGCUAGAUAACACGCGUAUUCUUUUGACAAGAGAAUCCAAAAAAAAAUAAUAAUAAUAAAUUUCUAACAACCAAAACCACUCCUAACCCGAUUCCAACUACUCUUAGCUGUUUUGUCUAAAAUGCCCUUUACCUACUGCCUCCCAUUAUCCAUUUUAUAUAUAACCUUUCUUUAACCACCACCCCACCAAAGCAUCUCCCACCUUUCCUUCUCCUUUGAUUGAUCAUGGCACUUUUUCUACUGCUUCUCACGUUCAUCUUCAUCCUCCUUCCAUACUACCUCUACCAGAAGCUCAGAUUCAAGCUUCCCCCCGGUCCCCGGCCGCUGCCGGUCGUCGGAAACCUCUACGACAUAAAGCCGGUCAGAUUCCGAUGCUUCGCCGACUGGUCACGGGCCUACGGUCCCAUCAUAUCUGUAUGGUUCGGUUCCACGUUGAAUGUUGUAGUCUCCAAUGCAGAGUUGGCUAAGGAAGUGCUGAAAGAAAAUGAUCAGCAGUUGUCAGAUAGGCACAGAAGCAGGUCUGCUGCUAAGUUUAGCAGAGAAGGGCAGGACCUCAUUUGGGCUGACUAUGGACCUCAUUAUGUUAAGGUUAGAAAAGUCUGCACACUUGAGCUUUUCUCACCUAAAAGGCUGGAAGCUCUUAAACCAAUCAGGGAAGAUGAAGUCACAGCCAUGGUUGAGUCCAUCUAUAAAGAUUGCACUCUUCCUGGUAAGUUUCAAAAUCUUUUUUUUUUUAAAUCUUGUUUAUGAUCUUAACUUAUGUUAGUUUUCUAUUUUCUGAUUUGGCACUUGAUUUGUUUCAUAUUAUAUUGUGACAAAUAACAAAGAUUACACCACUAGUAACAAAGAGUAAGUGUGGCCUUUUUUUCCCCAGUCACUUCUUGCAAUCUAAUGUUAAUAGUCAUGAUUACCGUUUUUUUUUUUUUUUUACCUUCUACUUGCAAUCUUUCCCACCUUAUUAUCCAAUUCAAUAUUCUCCCACUAAUAUUUUUUUCUUGAUUAUUCUUUAUUAGGUUCAUUGUGGUUCCUGUUUUCUUUAAUGAAUGAAAAGCUAAACUGUCCUCCCCUAAGAGUAAUUGUGGCAACUCUUCAUUAUGGCUUUUUUUCUUUUGACCACUGGUAAAGUUUCCAGGGUGAUUAGCAAUAAAGGGUAGUAUUUUAGAGUUAAACUUGAUGUUAAUAGUUCUAGUGAAGGUGAUUAGUAUAUCAUCCAAAAUAUCGACAGGAAGUGUGACAUUUAUAGCAGGAUAUGUCAAAGCAAUUUACUACAAGCAGAAUUCAUGAUUUCUAGACCUUUUCACAAUUUUCUAAAACUUCCUCUAAUUUUUAAAAUUUUAACUGGAAAAGCAGGACAGUUCUUUAGGUAUUAUUUAUUUGUUUAUAUAUAUAUAUAUAUAUAUAUAUAUAUUGUGGGGAAUGUUUUAUUUAGGUUUUAAAUGUUUAUUUGUUUAUUUAGGUUUAUAUAUAUAUUGUGGGGAAUGUUGGUUUGACUAAGUGAUUUUUGGUGGCGAGAGAAGUUGGUUUUGGUCCUGAAGAUGACAAACAAGGCUGCCUUCUAAUUUAAGCGUUGUGGGUGGGUGUUUGGUAAACCAAUUCAUGACAUUGACACCUAAGUUGGUACGAAAAGACGUCGUCAACUAGGGAAGUCCCUGCAUCCUUCUGUGUGUAUAAAGUUUGAGCAGGGUUUGGUGUAAAAAAAAUGUCAUUAUUUAUUUUGUCAAAUAUACCCUAUUAAUAUUCGCUAUUAUCUAUUUACAUUUUAUCUAUUAAAUUUUUCAUCCUACACGACUACCAAUAUAUUAAACACACAUAAAUACGUACACAUACUCCUUUUGUUUUAGCCUAACAAAACUUCCAAUGAGAACUUUCUAUCCCAAAAAAAAUGAAAAACAAAAUUCUUCCAUCAAUAUUUCUAAAACAACAUCCAACAACUCCUAAAAAUUUAAUAUAUUUUAAAAAAAAUUCCUUUUGGAUUUGCACACACAUAGGAUGUGUCAUUCCCACUAGUUUAUGUGUGUGUGUAAGCAUGUAGAGGAAGUGUAAAUAAAAAGAGAAAAGAAGGACAGGAAUGUAAAUAAACACGCUGAAGUAGAGAUACUAAUAUAGUGAGUCUUUUGGAACAAAAUAUAGUAACAAAAUAGUAACUGACAUGUAUGUUGUGGGAAAUGUUGCAAAUGUUGAGGAAAAAGUGUUUCAAUAUACCCAUCUGGUCUAUGUGAUGGUGAUAUUUGGAACACUAUGAUAGUAUAAUACAUGGUUCAUGUCCCUUUCAAUUGUAAUCUUUCUAUACAUAUUAGAGGUCCAAGCCAAAUUAUACACACUCAAAAAAAAAAGAAAAAGAAUAAUUGCAAUCUUUUUAUACAGAUUAGAGGUCCAAGCCAAAUUAUACACCCAAAAAAAAAAAAGAGGAAGAAGGGCAGCUCUGACAAACAGUUUUACUUUGUAUCCCGAAAAAGAUUUUCAAUACUAAUUCUUCUGAAAAACACAUUUGAAUUUAAAGCUUAUUCUUAAAAAAUUUUGUUAUGCACUUUCUCUUCUAUUGUUGCAAGCUUUUAAAUUAAAACUUUUAUUCACUAGCUUAUCCUUUUCCGGACAAAAUAGAAUAGGCACGAAGCUGUUAUCAUCGUGUAUAGUUGUGUCCGAUUGUUAUAAUUCUUAUACUAUGCAGUGUUCACUUUUUAUAAAAUCAAAAUCCACGCUUUUAAUUAAUAAAAAACAGCAAAUUUUAAGCAUACAACAAAAUGAUACAAGUGCACACUAAAAUAUGAAACAGGCAUAAUAAUCAUACAAAACCAUACCUAACCUAACCGUGCUUUGUCUCAAUUCCAAAUAGAAAUGGGCAGUAUUUGAUGGUCUUACAACUAUUGUAACUUGCAGAGGGUUCAGGGCAGAGUCUACUAAUGAAGAAAUACCUAGGAACAGUGGCAUUCAACAACAUUACAAGACUUGCAUUUGGCAAAAGGUUCGUGAAUUCCGACGGAGUGAUGGAUGAACAAGGAAAGGAGUUCAAGGAGAUAACUGCAAAUGGCUUGAAGCUUGGUGCAUCGCUCGCUAUGGCAGAGCACAUCCCAUGGCUACGGUGGUUGUUUCCACUCGAUGAAGCUGCUUUCGCGAAGCAUGGUGCUCGAAGGGACCGCCUCACUCGAGCCAUCAUGGAAGAGCAUAGAUUAGCUAGAGAAAAGAGCGGAGGAGCCAAGCAACAUUUUGUUGAUGCAUUGCUCACCCUCAAAGAUAAGUAUGAUCUCAGUGAGGACACCAUCAUUGGCCUCCUUUGGGUACGUGUUCCAUCACUUCUUCGCCUCACUUGCAUGUUUUACGUUUAUCACGAGCAUUUCGAUUCAUGCAAAACUAUAUCAAUUGCUAUCCUAAAAUCUUAUACCAACUCGUGGAAAUUGAUGUUCUUAAUGUAGAAAAAACCCAAAAACAUGGAAAAACAUAACAAAAGCUUGGUACUUCAUUAAAAAAUAUUCCCCAGAAAAAAAGGCUCAAAACAGCACAUUACCUUAUUUUUUACUUGUGGUUAAGUUCUUCAAUUACUGUAAUAGACCUUAUAAUCAACUUGAUUAAAUCUCUACUGUUCAAAAUGUCUUGCAAUACAACAAUCUGAACAGAUUGUCACAGCCUAAUGUUCUUUUACCUAAAUUAAUUAAAGAGCUGGUGAAACUGAAUUGCCUAUCUGCUAUCAGGACAUGAUCACUGCUGGAAUGGACACCACUGCAAUAUCUGUUGAAUGGGCAAUGGCAGAACUAAUUAAAAAUCCAAGAGUCCAACAAAAGGUCCAAGAGGAACUGGACCAAGUUAUCGGGUACGAGCGUGUUAUGAUCGAGACGGACUUCUCAAACCUCCCCUAUCUACAAUGUGUGGCUAAGGAAUCUCUGCGAUUACACCCUCCUACCCCAUUGAUGCUACCUCACCGGUCCAAUGCCAGCGUCAAGAUUGGUGGCUACGACAUUCCCAAGGGCUCAAAUGUGCAUGUCAAUGUCUGGGCAGUGGCUCGUGAUCCUACCGUGUGGAGGAAUCCGUUAGAAUUCCGGCCAGAGAGAUUCUUGGAAGAGGAUGUUGAUAUGAAAGGGCAUGAUUUCAGACUACUUCCAUUUGGUGCAGGAAGGAGGGUAUGCCCCGGAGCCCAAUUAGGCAUCAAUUUGGUAACUUCUAUGUUGGGCCAUCUCUUGCACCAUUUCAAUUGGGCUCCUCCUCAUGGACUUAGCCCAGAUGAGAUUGACAUGGGAGAGAGCCCUGGACUAGUCACCUACAUGAGGACUGCACUGCGGGCCGUUCCCACACCAAGAUUACCAUCUCAUCUAUAUGAACGUGUGGCUGUGGAUAUGUAACUUCAUUAUUUGUUGGUAAUUUCUUUAUUUUCCUUUGAGGAUUAUUUUUAGUAUUAUUGUUGUAUAGGGCAACAUAAAUUCACCACUGGCCUUUCAAUUAAGGGUUGUGUUUUGUAAUGUUUUCAAAACAAAGUUUGGUUAUAUUGGGUCCCCUAAACUUUAUUCUGUUUAACAAUACCACAAAUCAAUUUGCCAAUUAAAUGUAAUGGUUAGCGAGGAUUUGCAUUCUACUUGACUUUUUUUAUUUGGACGAAGGGAUAAAAUAACCAUUCCACUCCCCAAUUAUUUGAGUAUGAACUAAUGUCGGUCCCGUGUGUUCUCAUUAAAGCCAGUUUAGCCCUUUAUGCUUGUUAUGUUUGAUUAAUAUUGUCCAAUAAAGUUCUCGGAUGUUUGUUUAAUUCUUUAAUUUUGACUGUGUACAGCAUAAGUUACAAUGUUUUUAAUAAUUAUAAUGAAUACAGGGUUGAGAUAUGGCUUUACUUGCAAAUGAUUUACAGUAUUUCCAUAACAAAACCAAAAUUGAGUUGAAGACAUUUGCCAAAUUCUCAACAAAUUUCAGUCAAAUGCACUGAUCGAACAUGAAAUACAAGAGGUAAACAGUUAAAUUAGUUUACAUCCAAAUGAUGGGAUUAAAUUGUUCAUUAAGUUCUUUUGAAAUUGAAUGUUGGUGCCACUUCGAUUCUUUAUAUUAUAUUAUUACAAACACACAAUAGCAACUAUGAAUCAUUGUCACUUUUUUAAACAAGUUUUUCUAACAGGUGUUUAAUGGAUAUUCGUUAAUACACUUAAAUCCCACCUAACCUAUCAAGUAUAUGCACACUAAUAAUUAAUACCCCCUCUUACACCUAUAUACAUUUUCUAAUUAAUUUACUUUUUAAAAAAUCUAACAUUUGAAAUAUAUUUUAACAAGUGCUCAAUGAACAUUCAUUAAACAUGUUCUUUUUAAAUAUUAAAUUAGAUUGUACUACCAAGAGACGUGACACAAGUUAAAAUUUCAAUAUUAUAGUUUUUCUUUUUUACCAAGAGACGUGGCACAAGUUAAAACUUCAAUAUUAUGAUUUUUCUUUUUCUUUUUCUUUUCCUUGAAUUUCCAUGGUUUUUCUUUUUCUUUUUCUUCCAUGGAUCAUGAUCACUUUUCUAAAUAACAGUCAUGUUUGCGACCCACGAGUUACCCUUUCAAUAUUAUGAAUUUUCUUUUUUUUAAAAAAAAAAUUUCUUUUACGUACCAUAGAACAUCUGUAAAUCCAAUAUAAAUGCAAUUCAGCGUCGUACCAGAAAAUAUCAGUUGAUCAGCUUUCUCUGUAAACACAAGUAUAAAGAACGAGUACAUUUCAACUUUCAAUAUAGUAGAAGUUCGAACUCGACCUUAGCUGGCUUCAAACUAAGACCUGUUAACGAGAAGUGUAGCAGAGUUGACACAAUAACUUAAAAAUGGAAAAAAGCUCCUCAAACAUGGAAGGGGAGCUAGAGGAUUACUAUUGUGCUGCAAUCACUUCCGCAGAACACAGAUCUAAAUGCACCGAAAAUGCAAGCAUUUGGGAACAUACCAACUUUCAGGGAAUCCAGUAACAAGAAGAUCACAGCAGUUUUGCCAAUCACAUACCUAAAUGCACUGAAAAUAAAUCUAAUAUUAUUACAUAUCAGCAUUACAUAAAGUACAGAGUAUAUUACAUCUAAAGCAGAUCUGAACAAGGAACUAAAAUUAAAGGGAAACAAAGAAACAGAGACAGAAUACAGCCGUUUUAGGACUUAUCAGCCCUAGUGCAUUCACAUAUACAUCAUUGUCUCAUAGCAGGAAAUUCAUGCUAUCUGGCAAUAGAAAAGAUUGAGCCUACUACAUAAACAAAUUCUUUCAUCCUUCCUCAUCAUAAUCUUCCUCUUCCUCAUCCAAUCUUGAGCUAAGGUGAGCAAUUUGAGAAGGAUCAAUAGCCAUCCUAUCCAUCUCGGAAAGUGCCCACCCAGGAUACUCUUCACCUUUUGUAUCAGCAGGUCCAGCUGAUGAGGUAGACGGUUCUGUCAGAGUUGCAGCUGUUUUGUCUCCACCUUCACCUACACCUGAGUUCAGAUCGAUAUUUUGCAAAACAUUAUCAUUGUCACUGCUUUUGAUGUUUUCUUUUGAUGAUUCUAACUCUGCCAAAGUAUCCGCUGUGCUUCCAGGACUUGAGAUUUGCUUACUGCUUUGCUGGAUGGACAUAGAG
rnacentral:lncRNA from 1 species